rnacentral:lncRNA from 1 species
GGUAAAGAGCCAUGGAAACUAUUUUGAUGAAUGUCGAGCCAAGCAAGGAAAGAUAGAUUUCCCAAUUGAGAAGAAAUGGUGCCUGUGAGAUCCAUGCUUGAUAAAUUCAGAGCAGUGACUCUAUGGUGUCUAGAUCCACAUGUGACACCAAUCCAGCUACAAACGGAGGUAGAAGUAGACCAAUUGGUUGCCAAGAAAUUGUAAGGAUCAUGAGUUAUAUGAGAUUUGAGUGCUAGAAAAGCAGAUUGAUCAACGGUGAUGCUAGAAUAUUUUGCAGACAAAAUAACCCCAAAGGUUGCGAAUAGCAGCCCAAACAUAAACGGAGGGAGGAAGACGGUGAUAGUCUCCAAGAGAAAGAGACAAGCAAGGAGGGUGAAGGCAAAGUGGCAAACAAUACAUUCAUUACAUAUUUAUUGUUGCAUAUCUCAUUUUAUUUACUGUCACUAGACACUUUUUAUAUAUAUAAAUUAUUAAAUAUUAAAUUUCAUAUAUAAAAAAAAUCCACAUAUUACUUAUUUUAUUAAUACAUAAAAGUAAACCGUUUAGAUGAUUUCAAGUUAAAAAAACAAUAUAUUUUAGAUUUUAUGUGGAUUCUUUUUAAGUUCAAUUUUCAAAUUAUUCAGAUUUCCAUCAUCAAAGUUGAAUAGUUUGUAAUUCAAAUUAUUGCUCUCUUUUUACUUGUACCAAUAUUUCCUAUAUUUUUCUUAUGUUAAAAUAGUCAAAGUAUUAAAUAUAUAAUUAGUUGUAGAGAAGUCAAAAGCUAAUUAAUAAUAUAUAGGGAUUGCAUAAAUGUAACAACAAAAAGAAAAAAAAAUCAAAGCUACUUAAUGGUUGUAUUUUGUGAGGCUGUGGAAGUUGAAAGAGCAAUAAUUUUAAGCUGUCUAAUGAAAAUAUUAAACUAAAACUUUAGUAAAGUUUAAUUAUAUAUUAUAUUUUAAUAAAAUUACAUAUCUUAAAUCGAAAAAUAAUUUAAUCAAUCAUCUGUAUUAGUUUUGAAGUUCAGGCUUACAUAUAUAGAAUAUAUAUUGAUUGAGUUAGAAAUACUCAAAUUUGUUUCUUAUACUCAAAAUGUUUACACAUGACACAAUAAUAUUCAUAACUUUUUUUAAUGAAAUAAUAUUCAUAACUUCAACUUUAUUUGGAAGAAAAAUUGGAAAUCAAUAAUAUUUGCUAUACACAUGAAUGGAGUGUAUAAAAUGAAUGAUUAGUAGAGUUUAAUAUUAUAUAUAUUUUAAUAUUUAAUAAAAUUACAUCUUUUAAUUCAAAAAGAUAUUUUAAUCAAUCAAUUUUAUUAGUUUUCGAGUUGAGGCUUAUAUAUAUAUAUAAUAUAUAUUAAUUGAGUUAGAAAUAGUACAAAAAGUUGACAUUUUUUAAAAGUAUGAUAAUUUGAAUAGAAGUAACAUAUGCUAAUGUGGAGUAAUUGUUCCAUAUAAUCCUUUUUAUGAUGAAAUCAUUGCUUAAUUUACUUCAUAACUUCUUACAUUUAGACAUAAUAAUGAGGUUUUAAUCUUUUAAGGUAACUUUUAUUUUAUUUACUUAAAAAAUUGCAUAAAUUUAAUUAAAAAAAAGAGAAUAAAAGAAACAUGAAAUUAUACCUGUCAAUUUGUUAUGGUUAAGAUAAAGAAAUUGGAGAGAAGUCAAGUUUCCAAUAACAAGAGGAAUUUCACCUGAAACGUAUAAUUAAAUCGGUCAAAAUUUGUAAAUAUCAUAUUAGUGUCUGUUUCAUUUACCUAUUUUUAAAUAUGUAAGUUUUGUUUAGUCUUAUAGCACUUAUGAUAACCCAAAAAUAUUUUAAUUAUAAUACUCAAAUUAACAAUAAAAAAUAUUUAUGUUUGUGCCAGAAAAAAACACUGCAUAGAUCACAAAAAGGAAAAACUAAAACAUCCAAAAAACACUAAACACAAAAUUCAUAGUUGUAGAGGAGGAUUAGAUACAUUGGUCCCAUAAUAUGUCACUCAAAAUCUCAAAAUCAUCCAACAAAAAGAAAUCAUCACUUUAGUUAAUUAAAUCAAGAACAAAUAAAGUUAUGGAUGAACAAAUAUGGGAAGCAAAGAAAUGUGAUGGAUCAAAAGGGACGGAUAAGCUAAUUUCUGCCAUAAGGUAGAUGGUGAACUUAGGAUGUGGAGUUCCAAUAAACACCUAAACAUACCUAAACUUUUGGCAAUUCAAAUAGAUUAUACUAAUUUUUAAUUACUUAAAAAUAUUGCAUAAAUUUAAUAACAAAAUAGAGAAUAAAAGAAAUAUGAAAUUAUACCUGUCAAAUUGUUAUUGCUAAGAUAAAGAAAUUGGAGAGAAGUCAAGUUUCCAAUAACAAGAGAAAUUUCACCUGAAACGUAUAAUUAAAUCAAUAAAUAUUUGUAAAUAUUUUCCUAGCAAACCCUUAAUUUAUUUGUUGAGCAUAUUAGUGUCUGUUUGAUUUACCUAUUUUUAAAUAUGCAAGUUUUGUUUAGUCUUAUAGUACUUAUGAUAACCCAAAAAUAUUUUAAUUAUAAUACCCAAAAAUUUCAGGCCCAUAUUUUGGGCCGGGCCGAGCCCGAGCCUAGGACGAGGACCAAAAAUUUUUCUAGGCCCAGCCCAAACCUAGCCCGACCCAUGAUCACCUCUAUUGCAUACAAUAUGUUUCCCUAAACUACUUAUUAUUUAUCUCUCGCCACAAAUUAUCAAAAACACAUUUGCAUUUUAAGCCAAACAUUUAUAAUAGUGAUAAGUGCUGUAUUGAUUAAUAAUAUAUAACAACUAAAAAGGGAUUGCAUAAAUGUAACAACAACAAGGAAAAAAAUGAUAUUAUACCUAAUAAGUUGUUAUUAGAAAUAUAAAUAGCUUCGAGAAUGGUCAAGUUUCCAAUAGUUGAUGGGAUUUCACCUAAAAAUAUAAAUAAAUGGGUCAAAAUAAUCAACGGAAUUUCACCUAAAAUAUAAUAAAGAUGAUAUUUUACCUGUAAAGUAGUUAAGACCAAGAUAGAUAUUCGUGAGAGAAAUAAGGUUUCCAAUAAUUGAUGGAAUUUCACCUAAAAUAUAUAAUUAAAAUUAUCAAUUUAUUUCAAAAAAAAACCAAAAUUUAUUAAUUAUUUACCAAAAUAAUACAAAAAAAAAUAAAAAAAUACCAAAAUAUUACAACUUUUUUAUUAUUUACCGAAAUAAUACAAAAAAAAGAGUUAAAAAAAAAUACUGAAGGAGGAAUAGCUUAGAACAUUACAAGCUUAAAAGACCAAUGUAUUUCCUAUUCAAUAAUAUCAACUAUGGCUUAGCAACAACUAAAUCAAGACCUAAACAAUAAGGCAAAUCUAAAAGGGUAAGAAAUAGGUCCAAAUUAUAAUUCAGAACAUAAAUUAAUUUUUAAUGUAAAAUUUAAAUAAAAUUUAAAAUUCUUUUAUUAUCAAAUAAAUUUCUUAAUAAAAUUCUUUUAUUAUCAAAUAAAAUUCUUAAUGAAAAAAUAAAACAUCUAAAAAUAUAUGUCUUAUACCAAGAUUCUUAUAUUUUUCUAAUAUGUCACUUUAGUUAAUUAAAGCAAGAACAAAUAAAGUUAUGGAUGAACAAAUAUGGGAAUCAAAGAAAAACGAUGGAUCAAAAGGGACGAAUAAGCUAAUUUCUGCCAUAAGGUAGAUGGUGAACUUAGGAUGUGGAGUUCCAAUAAACACCUAAACAUACCUAAACUUUUGGCAAUUCAAAUAGAUUAUACUAAUUUUUAAUUACUUAAAAAUAUUGCAUAAAUUUAAUAACAAAAUAGAGAAUAAAAGAAACAUGAAAUUAUACCUGUCAAAUUGUUAUUGCUAAGAUAAAGAAAUUGGAGAGAAGUCAAGUUUCCAAUAACAAGAGGAAUUUCACCUGAAACGUAUAAUUAAAUCAGUAAAUAUUUGUAAAUAUUUUCCUAGCAAACCCUUAAUUUAUUUGUUGAGCAUAUUAGUGUCUGUUUGAUUUACCUAUUUUUGAAUAUGCAAGUUUUGUUUAGUUUUAUAGUAUUAUGCCAACCCAAAAAUAUUUUAAUUACAAUACUCAAAUUUAUAGUUGAAAUGAUGAUGGAAAUUAGAUGAAAAUUUAAAUUUAAAAUGAAAAAUAUAAAAUUAUAAAUAGAUAUAAAUUUUCAUCUAAAACUUGACAUUUUUGAAACCUAAGUUAUAGCAUAAUGUGUAGUUUUUUUCUAUCAUUAUAAAUUAUGUUAAAUUUUGUUGAAUGUAGUGGUGCCAACGAGUUUAAUAUUCAAAUCAUCAUAUUGAUAUUGAGACACUGAAUUAUUGAUAUUUUUCUUAUUCUUAUAUUUUUCUAAUUUUAAAGUAGUUAAAGGAUUAAAUGUGUAAUUAAUUGUUUUUAAGCCAAAAGUAUUAUAGUAAUAUAAAAAGAAAAUAUGAGUAUAUAAAGAAAAUAAAACUAUGAUAUAAAACUAUGUUUUAAAAAGUACUUAUUAGUGCUUAUGAUAACCCAAAAACAUUUUAAUUAUAUAACACUCAAAUUUGAGUGUAGUGGUGCAAACCAGGUUUAAUUACUUCAUAACAUCUUACAUUUUCUAAAUGCAUUAUAAUGACUUCAAUGUUUUAAUCUUUUUAAGGUAACUUUUAUUUUAAUUACUUAAAAAGAUUGUAUAAAUUUAAUAACAAAAAGGAGAAUGAAAGAAACAUGAAAUUGUACCUGUCAAUUUGUUAUUACGAAAAGAAAGCACUCGAAGAGAAGUCAAGUUUCCAAUAACAAGAGGAAUUUCACCUGAAAUAUAUAAUUAAAUGAGUAAAUAUAUAAUUAUUUUUAAUAAUUAUUUUAAGAGUUAAAUAAGGCAAAUCUAAAAUGUAGAAGAAAUAGCUAAUUAGAAGUAGUGUGUGAUUCAAAAGGGUAUAAAGUAGGUCCAAAUUAAAAAUCAAAUCUUAAAAUAAUUUAAUCUAAAAUUUAACUCUUUUCUUAUCACUAAAUAAAUUAACUUUUAGAGAAAUUAGAAGUUUUAAUAAAAUACCUGAAAUAACUGAUUGUUUAUGACUAGGUGAAAAUUAGAUGAAAAAAAAUAUAAUUAAUAAUUUAUAUAGCUAUUAUUGGAAAUCAUCCAUAUUUAUAGAAAGUCAAAGAUAUGAGUAUAAAAAAGAUAUGGGUAUUAGAAAGAUAUGGGUAUCAAAAUCUGAGAUUUAAGACACCAAAAGUGGGAUUGAGAUUUGGCAUAAGAUAAUUGCAAUUUUGAUCCCUGAACUUCAACUAUAAAUAGGCCUAACUAUUUCUCUUCUUCAUCAUCCCAAAUUUGCCAUUCUCUACUUAAGGCAUUGUUUUCUCUCUCUCUUUGUAAAUUCUCACUUGUAUUUUGGAGUGAAAUAUAUUUGGUAGAGCCCGAGGACGUAGGCAAAAUUUGCUGAACCUCGUUAAAUUCUUGUGUUCUUUAUUGUAUUAUUAUGCAUGAAUUGUGAGUGUGAUUGUAGUGAUUUAUUGUGCUAUUAAAUUACGAUUGAGGGAUAUUCUGGCUAGAAAAGACUUGGUACUUAAGCGAUCCUUGUGAUCCACCUCUCUUUCCUGGGAAUUGAAAUUAGUGUGAUUUUUAGUACAAUAAUUUUACUCUUUUACACGCUUCUGCACAAAAAUUGGUAUUAGAGCUAGAUUCGUACUUGGGGAAUACAAUUGUUCACGGCACUGUUCACGUACAGUAGUUGGGAUUGAGGAGAAAAAUGGAAAAGGUAUCGUCAUCAGCAAAGACUAUUGUGACCAAUGCAAAAUUUGAAGUAGAGAAAUUUGAUGGUACCAAUAAUUUUGGUAUGUGGCAAUGUGAGAUCCUAGAUGUCUUAUGUUAGCAAGAGCUGGAUAUAGCCCUUGAAGAAAAACCUGACAAGAGGGAAGACAAGGAGUGGGCUAAAAUUAAUAGACAGACAUGUGGAACAAUUCGUCUAUGUUUGGCCAAAGAGCAGAAGUACUCUGUCAUAAGGGAGACAUCAACGAAGAAGUUGAGGGAUACACUGAAAGAAAAGUUUCUAACAAAAAGUCUUGAAAAUAGGCUUUAUAUGAAAAAGAAACUUUAUCGAUUCACGUAUGUACCCAGUAUGUCGAUGGAUGACCAUGAGAACUCAUUCAAUAAAAUUUUAACAGAUUUGCUAAAUUUGGAUGAGAAAUUUGAAGAUGAAGACAAGGCAUUACUGUUGUUGAAUUAUCUUCUUGAUGAUGAUCAUCUUACCACCACAUUGCUCUAUGGAAGGAUACGAUCACAUUUGAUGCAGUCUGUAGUGCGUUGUAUAGAUCUGAGACUCGAAAGAAAGAUAAAAAAGAUCACAGAGAUACAACUACAGAAGUCUUAACAGUAAGAGGUCGUUCGGACAACAACAAAUCAGGUAGAAGUAGUAAGUCCAAAGGGAGACCUGCCAAAGAUAAAUGUGUUUUUUGUCGUGAGAAAGGGCAUUAGAAAAAGAAUUGUCCUAAGUUACAAAAGGGCAAGGCUAUUUCUGAUGCAUGUGUAGUGGAGUAUGAUGAGGAGUCAGACUUUAGCUUGGUUGGCAUGACAAUGGCAUGUCAUAUAGAUGAGUAGAUUUUGGAUUCGAGAUGUACUUACCAUAUGUGUCCUAAUAAGGACUGGUUUUCUAGUCUUAAAGAACUAGAAGGUGGAGUUGUUUUUAUGGGCAAUGACAGCGUUUGUAAGACAAUGGGAGUAUGUACAAUCCAACUGACGAAUCACGACGGCUCAAUUCAAGUCUUGACAGAUGUUCGCUAUAUACCUAGCUUGAAGAAAAAUCUCAUCUCAUUAGGGGUCCUAGAAUCUAAAGGGCUCACAAUCACUUUGAGAGGGAUUACUAAAGGUAGUAGCUGGGGGGUAUUGACGGUGAUGAAAGGCACAAGAAGGAAUAACCUGUACUAUUUAAAUGGUAGUACAGUUAUUGGAUCAACAUCAACAGUUUCUGUGAAAGAUGCAGAUUCAGAGCCUACCAGGUUAUGGCAUAUGCGAUUGAGACAUGCUGGUGAAAAAGCUUUGUAGAGUUUGGUGAAGCAAGGCUUGUUGAAAGGUGAAAAUUCUUGUAAAUUGGAAUUCUGUGAACAUUGUGCUCUAGGCAAGCAGACGAGGAUAAAAUUUGGUUCAACAAUUCACAAUACAAAAGGAAUUCUGGACUACGUUCACAGUGAUGUGUGGGGACCUACUAAAGUGGCUUCUUUGGUAGGUAUGCACUACUUUGUUACUUUUGUUGAUGAUUAUUCAAGAAAAGUAUGGGUGCAUCUAAUGAAAAGAAAACAAAUGAAGUUUUGGAUGCAUUUCUGAAAUGGAAGAAGGUGGUGGAGACCUAAAUUGGUCAAAAGGUCAAACAACUUCGAUCAGACAAUGGUACUGAUUACAAGAAUGAUCCAUUUCUACAAGUAAGUCAAGAUGAGGGCAUUGUGUGACACUUCACUGUUCGAGAUACACCACAACAGAAUGGGGUGGCAGAACGUAUGAAUCGGACUAUACUGGAGAAAGUUUUAUGUAUGUUGUCCAAUGCUAGAUUGGGCAAGGAAUUUUGGGCUGAGACAGUUACAUAUGCGUGCCAUCUAAUUAACCGGUUGCCAUCAGCUGUAAUAAAUGGAAAAACUCCUAUGGAGAGGUGGGCUGGUAAACCUGCUACUGAUUAUGAUUCUUUACAUGUUUUUGGUUCCACUACAUAUUAUCAUGUAAAAGAAUCUAAGUUAGACCCAAGAGCAAAAAAAAGCAUUAUUCAUGGGUAUAACUGGUGGAGUAAAAGGAUAUUGUCUCUGGUGUCCUGAUACAAGGAAGAUUGUUUUCAGUAGAGAUGUGACUUUUGAUGAAUCAACCAUGAUGAAGAAUAAUGAUUCACAAAAUGAUAACAAAACUAGUGGCACUUUGUAGCAGGUGGAGCUUGAAAAGGUUAAUGAUGAUCCAGCUAAUAUUGAAGGAACAAAUGAUGAAGAAGUUUUGACCCAAGAACUUUUACAGCAACAUGAUUCAAUUGCAUAUAAGAGGCCAAGAAGAGAGGUUCGUAUGCCUGCUCGCUUUGAUGAUAUUGUGGCCUAUGCACUUCCAAUUGCAGAUGAUGAUGUUCCUUCUAUUUAUAUAGAAGCAAGAAGUAACCCUGAUGGUGUAAAGUGGAAGCGAGCUAUGAAUGAAGAAAUGCAGUCUCUUCAUAAAAAUAGGACUUGGGAGUUGGUGACACUACCCAAAGGAAAGAAGGCAAUUGGAUGCAAAUGGGUAUAUGCAAAGAAGGAAGGAUUUCCUGGUAAAAAUGAAGUUCGAUACGAGGCUAGAUUGGUAGCAAAGGGUUACGCUCAGAAAGAAGGAAUAAACUACAAUGAAGUGUUUUCUCCAGUUGUGAAGCAUUCGUCUAUUCAGAUUUUGCUAGCCUUGGUUGCGCAAUAUGAUCUUGAACUAGUUUAGCUUGAUGUGAAGAUCGUAUUUUUACACGGUGAUUUGGAAGAGGAAAUCUAUAUGACUCGGCCAGAAGGAUUCAAGGUUGCUGAUAAAGAAAAUUGGGUUUGUAAACUGACAAAGUCACUUUAUGGAUUGAAACAAUCUCUGAGGCACUGGUACAAGCGAUUUGAUCAGUUCAUGAAAGGGUAAAGGUCCACAAGAAGUAAAUUUGAUCAUUGCGUGUAUUUUCAAAAGCUACAAGAAGGAUUUUUCAUAUACUUGCUUUUAUAUGUUGAUGAUAUGUUGAUAGCAUCUAAGAGUAAAGUUGAAAUUGAGAGAUUGAAGACUCAACUCAACCUUGAGUUUCAGAUGAAAGACCUAGGUGAAACUAAUAAGAUUCUUGGCAUUGAAAUAUGUAGGGAUAAAGCUCAUGGCAGAGUUAGUUUGUCUCAGAAGCAAUAUUUGAAGAAGGUACUAUAGAAGUUUGGCAUGAACGAGCAAACAAAAGCUGUAAGUACCCAGUUGGCUUCUCAUUUCAAGCUUUCUACACAACUAUCUCCUUCGACUAAUACGGAACAAGAAUACAUGUUACAAGUUCCGUAUUCUAAUGCAGUAGGUAGCUUGAUGUAUGCAAUGGUGUGUACAAGACCCGACAUUUCACAGGCAGUUAGUAUAGUGAGCAGGUAUAUGCACAAUCCUGGAAAAGGACAUUGGCAAGCUGUGAAAAGGAUUCUACGGUAUAUUCAGAAUACCAUGGAUAUUGGAUUACUGUUUAAGCAGGAUACUACACUUGGUAAAUGUGUUAUUGGGUAUGUUGAUUCUGAUUAUGCCCAUGAUUUGGUCAAACGAAGAUCAAUCACUGGUUAUGUGUUUACACUUGCUGGAGGACCAAUAAGUUAGAAGUCUACAUUGCAGUCUACAGUUGCAUUGUCAACCACAGAAGUUGAAUACAUAGCUGUAACAGAGGCUGUAAAGAAAGCUAUUUGGUUACAAGGUAUGGUUAAAACCUUGGGAUUGGUUCAGGAGCAUAUUAACGUGUAUUGUGAUAGUCAAAGUGCUAUUCAUUUAGCAAAGAUUCAAGUCUAUCAUGCACGUACAAAACAUAUCGACGUACGUUUCCAUUUUGUGUGGGAAAUUAUUGAUGAGGGGAAAAUUCACCUUCAGAAUAUUAAGACUGCAGAUAAUCCCGCAGAUAUGAUGACCAAGGUGGUGACAACCAUCAAGUUCGAACAUUGUUUGAACUUGAUCAAUAUUCUGCAUGUUUAACAGUUGAAGAAGGCACUAUCAAGUGUUGUUGAUAAAGGCAAAGAGAAUUGUGUGAAUAUAAGAUUAUUCGAAUCAAAUCUUCAAGAUGGAGAUUAUUAGAAAUCAUCCAUAUUUAUAGAAAGUCAAAGAUAUGGGUAUCGGAAAGAUAUGGGUAUCAAAAUCUAAGAUUUAAGGCACCAAAAGUGGGAUUGAGAUUUGGCAUAAGAUAAUUGCAAUUUUGAUCCCUGAACUUCAACUAUAAAUAGGCCUAACCAUUUCUCUUCUUCAUCAUCCCAAAUUUGCCAUUCUCUACUUAAGGCAUUGUUUUCUCUCUCUCUCUCUCUUUGUAAAUUCUCACUUGUAUUUUGGAGUGAAAUAUAUUUGGUAGUGCCCGAGGACGUAGGCAAAAUUUGCUAAACCUCGUUAAAUUCUUGUGUUCUUUAUUGUAUUAUUCUGCAUGAAUUGUGAGUGUGAUUGUAGUGAUUUAUUGUGCUAUUAAAUUGGGAUUGAGGGAUAUUCUGGCUAGGAAAGACCUGGUACUUAAGCGAUCCUUGUGAUCCACCUCUCUUUCCUAGGAAUUGAACUUAGUGUGAUUUUUUAGUACAAUAAUUUUACUCUUUUACACGCUUCCGCACAACAGCUAUUUCUCUCAUUCUAUGGACUAUGGUGGAGCAAAAAUUAAUAAAAAAAAUCAAACGGAUAGAAAUAGCUGAGUUACAAGUUUAUGUUAAUUCAAUAAAUUUAAAAAAAAACACAUUAUUUCCAAAAGGGUAAGAAAUAGGUCCAAAUUAUAAUUCAGAAUAUAAAUUAAUUUAAUGUAAAAUUUAAAUAAAAUUGAAAAUUUUUGUUAUUAUCAAAUUGAAAAAAACACCGAUCAUAAAAAGGAAAAACUAAAACAUCCAAAAAACACUAAACACAAAAUUCAUAGUUAUAGAGGAGGAUUAGAUACAUUGGUCCCAUAAUAUGUCACUCAAAAUCUCAAAAUCUCAAAAUCAUCCAACAAAAAGAAAUCAUCACUUUAGUUAAUUAAAUCAAGAACAAAUAAAGUUAUGGAUGAACAAAUAUGGGAAGCAAAGAAUGAUGAUCACGAGAGAAAUAAGGUUUCCAAUAACAGAUAAAAUUUCACCUAACACAUAUAAUUAAAAUCAUUAAAAUUUACUAACAGAUCUUAAAAUGGUUAUUUUGUGAGGCUGUGGGAGUUGUGUGAAGAAGAAAAAGAGGGAAUGGCAGUGGGUCAAUGCGGGUAGGUAUAAGUCUGAAACAUAUAAUAUCAACUAUGUACUCUGUAAUCAAGGCUAAGAGAAAUAAAGUACUCUAUUUCUUUCCUAUUCAAGAAUAUCAACACAUAAAUAAUAAGGAUAGAAAAAAUAGGUAAUUACAAGUCUUGUGUGAUUCAAAAGGGUAUAAAGUAGGUCCUAAUUAAAAAUCAAACCUUAAAUUAAUUUAAUGUAAAAUUUAACUCUUUUCUUAUCACCAAAUAAAUCUACUUCUAGUAAAUUAGGAGUUUUAAUAAAAUACUUGUAAGAACUGAUUGUUUAUGACUAGGUGUUUUGUUUUCAACAUAUUUGGAAUUAACUUGCCUUAGAAAAACAGUCUCUAUUAUUUUAAGAAUAUUAUAGAAGGGUAGAACUAUGAAAGCGGUUAGUAAAACAUGAGAUGCUAAAAAUAGACACAUGCCAUAAUAGGAAGGAAAAUUAGAAACAAACUCCUAAACCAAAUAAUUGGUUGAUGGCUGAAUUGUCAUGUACGGGGUUGUGGAGGUGACUAUGAGUUUUGAUGUGUUCCUACCUGCUACUAAGGGUAACUCAGGAGUUGCAUUAAAAAUCUGACUUCGUUUGUUUGGCACCAAUUAAAUUGGUUGAUGGCUAGCUCAAUUCACAUAAAUAAUGUAUAUAUACUCUAUGAGUUGCAUUAGUGGUUAUUGUUUAAAGUCCCGCUUCACUAUUUAAAACAACUGUCGAUGGAAAUUAGAUAAAAAUGAAUGACACGAUAACCAGGACUUGUUUACCUUUGAAAUAGUUGUCACCAAGAUCCAAAGUCUCGAGAAAGGUCAAAUUUCCAAUUUCUGUAGGUAUACUUCCCUCCAAGGAGUUGUUAAACAAUGAUAAAAACUUCAGCUCUUUGCACUUGAAUAAACUAUUUGGAAUUCUACCGGUAAUUUGAUUCCCACCCAAGCUCAACCUUUCUAGUUUUGACAAAUUGCCUAGAGUAGAUGGGAUAACACCAACGAAGUUGUUAAGGUACAGAGACAAUCUUUGAAGUUUACUGAAGCAACCAAACCAUGAUGGGAUUUCUCCAUUGAAGCUAUUGUUACCAAAGUCCAAAUAUUUCAUCCGACGCAAAUUAGUUAACUCAAUGGGUAAAGAGCCAUGGAAACUAUUUUGAUGAAUGCCGAGCCAAGCAAGGAAAGAUAGAUUUCCCAAUAGAGAAGAAAUGGUGCCUGUGAGAUCCAUGCUUGACAAAUUCAGAGCAGUGACUCUAUGGUGUCUAGAUCCACAUGUGACACCAAUCCAGCUACAAACGGAGGUAGAAGUAGACCAAUUGGUUGCCAAGAAAUUGUGAGGAUCAUGAGUUAUAUGAGAUUUUAGUGCUAGAAGAGCAGAUUGAUCAACGGUGAUGCUAGAAUAUUUUGCAGACAAAAUAACCCCAAAGGUUGCGAAUAGCAGCCCAAACAUAAACGGAGGGAGGAAGCUUGGUUUUGCCAUAAGGUUGGAUACGGGUGUCAGGCGCAUCAUAAGGAGAGAAACAACCGAAUUUAAUACUUUUCUAAUGUUAUAGUUCAAUAUUCUUUAAAUACUUUGAUUCUAAGGAUUUAAGCAAGGCAUCCAUUGACUCAUAAUUUGAGUAAGAAAUACGUACAAUCUUGUGGGUCCAACCAUGUUAUAGGAAAAAAAAAAGGGAAGGCUUAGUCUCAAGUUGAAGAGUAGCACUAAUAAUCCAAUUGUAGGUUUGGGAAAAAAUUUAAGAUGUAGAAAAUUUUUAUUAUUAUUAAAACUCUUAUCAAAUACUUAUUUGACGCAAGUUUAAAUUGUGUUGAUCUCAUUUUAUAUUCCAAUGACAAUUUGAAUAAUUAGUAAUUUUUUUAUUUUUAAUUAAUAUAAAAAUUCUCAACUCAAAUUUUAAAUUAAAAAUUAAAAGUACUUUGUAAGUUUAUAGUAAUUGUAAGUUUCAUUUCAUAAAUUAGAAGAAUUUAUUGUUAUAAUUUUAAUUUUUUUAAACAUAUAGUUCAACAUUUUUAUUUAAAAAAAAUAGCAUACUAGUUUUAGAUUAUAUGAUAAUUAAAUUUAAUUAAGAUUUAUUAUACUUUAAUUAACUAUUAAUCACACUUACUGAUUUUCAUCAUCAUCAUUCAGUAUCUAUUAUUUAUUAUUGAUUUAUUGGCCAUUUUAAUCCUUGAGAUAAUUGCCAUCUAGGUCCCUAAGCUUUUUAUUAAUUAAAACUCAAUAAUAAAUAUAUCGAUGGAGCUUUGGUUUUAGUGGGCAUGAAACCAUGGAGUCUUUACAGCUUUGAGGGAAAAAAAGACAGAAAAAGAAUUUUAAAGACACAAAUUAAUAAAUUAAUUUUUUUAAUCUACGUUUUAUUAAAACACACACCCAAAAAUCACCUCAUUUUCCCGUAGCUUAUUAUUUACAGUUUUUCUUGCAAUCCAAGUGCAAUCCAAUUGGCAAUUGGAAAAUGAUACGAUGUUUAUGUUUUAUUUUUUUUCAUUUUUAAAUAUAAUAAAGGCGAAAUUGACGGAAGGAAAAACUUUCUCCUUGGUUUAAAAGUCCAGAUAUCAAUUACAAGACAUAAAAAACAAAGACAAGUAUUGGUGGCCAGUAGAUGAUAGUGAGUGACACUAUUUGAUUUAGUCUAAUUAUUACAACAUGUUUGAUUCAAACUAUUUUGUAUUUGGCAGCGAAGCAGGUCGAAGAUGGCAGAUUUUACCUCCCUGACUACAGUGGAGUACAUUGAAGCCGAUAACUCUAUCUCCCUGUAUUUGGCAGUGGAAUAGAUUGAAGAUUGCAGAUCUUGCCUUCCUGUAUUUGGCAGCGAAGCAAGUCGAAGAUGGCGGAUUUUACCUCCCUGACUACAGUGGAGUACAUUGAAGCCGAUAACUCUAUCUCCCUGUAUUUGGCAGUGGAAUAGAUUGAAGAUUGCAGAUCUUGCCUUCCUGUAUUUGGCAGCGAAGCAGGUCGAAGAUGGCGGAUUUUACCUCCCUGACUACAGUGGAGUACAUUGAAGCCGAUAACUCUAUCUCCCUGUAUUUGGCAGUGGAAUAGAUUGAAGAUUGCAGAUCUUGCCUUCCUGUAUUUGGCAGCGAAGCAGGUCGAAGAUGGCAGAUUUUACCUCCCUGACUACAGUGGAGUACAUUGAAGCCGAUAAUUCUAUCUCCCUGUAUUUGGCAGUGGAAUAGAUUGAAGAUUGCAGAUCUUGCCUUCCUGUAUUUGGCAGCGAAGCAGAUCAAAUAUGGCAGAUUUUACCUCCCUGACUACAGUGGAGUACAUUGAAGCCGAUAAUUCUAUCUCCCUGUAUUUGGCAGUGGAAUAGAUUGAAGAUUACAGAUCUUGCCUUCCUGUAUUUGGCAGUGAAGCAGAUCAAAGAUGUCAGAUUUUACCUCCCUGACUACAGUGGAGUACAUUGAAGCCGAUAACUCUAUCUCCCUGUAUUUGGCAGUGGAAUAGAUUGAAGAUUACAGAUCUUAUCUCCCUAAGCAAUAAUGGAGUAGGUUGAAGACGGCAGAUUUUACCUCCCUGAUUACAGUGGAGUACAUUGAAGCUGGUAGUUCUACUUCCCUGGGAAACAGUGGAAUAGAUCGAAGAUUACAAUCUUAUCUCCCUAAGCAGUAGUGGAGUAGAUCGCAUUAAGUCUUAUCUCCCUAAGCAGUAGUGGAGCAGACAAAACCACAGAUCUUAUUUCCCUAAGCAAUAGUGGAGCAGAUCGCAUCAAGUCUUAUCUCCCUAAGUAGUAGUGGAGCAGACUAAAAACACAAAUCUCAUCCCCAUGGAAUCGUAGCAGAUUAGAUUGAAGCUACAAGGCGUAUCUGAAGUUGCAUUAGAGUGGAUCGAAGCAACAAGACGUAGCAGGCUGGAAUAAGGCUACUGGAAGAAGAUGAGCACCAAAAAGUCAAGACUCGGCAAGACCGGGCAAAAUUGGCCCUUUUGAUGUCUUUGCUCUAUUCUCGUUACACGAAAAUGAGCAAAGAGGGGCAGCUGUAAAGGCCCAAUUUUGGCCCAACUUAAACCAACCCUAACCAAAACCCAGUCCCAACCAGACCCACUACCUAAACACUAAAAACCCAACACCAGCCCAAAACAGUGAAGCCCGAUAGGCCCAAGUCUCUAAAAAAAUUUUUGGAAAGCCAGAAACCCUAGGGUUUCUGGCGCCGUUGCCCCAUGUGCGCGACCACGCAGUCCCCACUUCCUCCUCUGCCCAAAACCUAGCACUGCCCAUACCGUUUGCACCCCAUGCCUCUGUCACCUCCAUCGUGCCCAUCCCAUGCAAAGAGACAAAGCAUAAACAAUAAGAAAUUAGAUGAAAGUGGGUUAUAAAAACCCGAAUCAAAAUUGUAUGGCGGGGGGUUUUUUUUUUCUUUUCUGUUUUCGUUUUAACAUUCGUUCAAAUGUUCAAAAGAAAUCAACAACCAAGAUAGAAUGAAACACAUGUACAAGCCGUGAUUUUAACACUGAAAUCAGAAGUUCAAAGUUGUCAAAAAAAAUCAAAAACUACAAAGUAUAAGGUAAUCUUUUUCUUUAUUUUUUUCUCGUUUUCUAAACCUAUUUUCCAUACAUAAAUAUUAAUAUAUAUAUAUAUAUAAUACAAGAAAUAAAAAAAUAAAAAAAAUAAAUUUUUUUUACCUUUUUCGGCCACCGCGUGCGGUGGCCGGCGCCGGCGCCGGCGAGCCUCCGGUGGCCGUCUGGUGACCGGCCCCCCUGGCCGGAUUUUCCUUCCCCCCUCCCUUCUCUCUCCCUUCUCUCUUCCCUCUCUCUUCCUUUUUUUUCUUUCCCUCUCCCCAAAUGAUUUUUUUUGGUUAUUUUAGGCCUUAUAUAGCCCUCCAAAACGACGUCGUUUUGGGGGCUACACUUAAGCCUCAAAACGACGUCGUUUUGACCAUGCCCGACCCAUCCGACCCGACCCGCUAGAGGAUCCGCGUGUUUUCGUUUGAAUGGGAUAUUUAUGCGCGCAGUCCUUCCGCUUUUUCAGGGUUUUGCAAUUAAGUCAUUUUUCUUGUUUCCAAUUUGGCCCCAUAAUUUCUCGCGCUUUUCGAUUUAGUCCCCGCUAAUGUGCUGCGUUUUAAUGGAAUGGAAUAAUUGUUGUUUCGGUCCCCCUAUGUUUUGUGUGCGCUCAAAUAAGCCCAUUUCUCUUUAUUUCCUUUCACAUUUGCCCCACAACUUUGUUUUUAAUUCAAUUUUAGUCCUUUUUUUCGUUUAUUCUUAUAUCUUUAUUAAAUAUCCUUGUUAUUUUUAUAUUAUUAGUAUUAUUAGUAUUACUAUUAUUAUUAUGUAUUAGUAUAUAUUUUUAUUAUGUACGCGUAUACAUAUAUAUAUAUAUUUUCAUAUUUAAUAUUUUUAUUUCAUUUUUAUUCUAAUAUUUUAUUAUAAUUUAUAUAUAUAUACAUGUACAUAUUCUUUAUUUAUUUUAAGUAUAUAUUUUUUAUAUUUCAUAUUUUCUACAGGCAUAUAUAUACUUAUAUAUUUACAUAUUUUAAUUCAUAUACUUAUAAAUGUAUGUACAUACUUACGUUAUUUUAUUUUUUUAAUAUACAUAUUUAUAUUUUUUUGUCUUUAUGUAAUAUAUAUACAUACAUGCGCAUGUUAUUUAUAUAUAUGUAAUUAUGUUUUCAUAUUUUAUAAUUCUUAUACAUACACAUAUAUAUAUACGUAUAGACAUACAUAUUUUCAUUAUAUAUAUACCUACAUAGUUUUUUUUUGUAUUUUAAAUCUUUUAAAAUUCAUACAUACAUUUUUAAAACUUUUAUAAUUUUAUUCAUUUCUUUAUUAUUAUUAUUGUUUUACUUUAUGUUUAUUUAUUUAUGUGUCCAUUAUUAUUUUUUUUUAAAAUGUUUUAGUUUUUUUUAUUUUGUUUAUUUACUUGUUAUUGUAUAUAAUUGAUUUUUUAUAUAUUUAUUUUUGUUAUCUUCGCUCGUAUUAUUUUUACUCGCAUUAUCGUAAUUGUUAUUCCGUCACAUCAAUUUUUACCCGAAUUCGUAAAAAAGGAAAAUUUUGGAAAUAAAAGCAAUACUCAAUACUUGGGAUCUUCGAGAGAAUUGGGCCCUAACGUGCUGGGUUCUAAUUUUCUGUUGAAUCUAAAUGCUCGAGAAUGCUCUUUAAUAAAAAAACAUAAAUAAAAACUCAUUAUCGGGAUUUCAAUAUGUUGUGUCCUAACGCAUUGGAUAUAACACGUGGUUUUCUCGAUAUGAGGAUUUUUCGAAAGUAAAGGCAAUAUUCUGUAUUUAGAAAAUUCGAGAAAAUCGUGCCCUAACUUACUGAGAUUCGAUUUUUCUCGUUGAUUCUAAGUAAUCGAAUAUCCUUUUAAAAUUAAAAUAAAUGAGGUUUAAAUAAAAAAAUAAAAGGAAAGCUUACUCUCAAAAAAUACAAGGUGUCGUGUCCUAACUUACUGGAUGUGACAUCUUGUUAAUUCGAGAUAAGAAGGCAUUUUUCAUUUUGACUUAUCCAAGUAAUUUUUUUUAAAAAAUAACGCAAUAUAAAGAAGGAUCUUAUUUUUAAAUUCUUUUCGAGUUUUUAAUUUUCGACAUAAAGACAUUAAAUAAUCAACUAAGGUACCAAUUUUGGGCGUGUCGAGGGUGCUAAUCCUUCCUCAUGCGUAACCGACUCCCGAACCCUUUUUUUUUCUGAAUUUCGUAGACCAAAAUCGUUAUUUUAAUAAAAAUUAAAUCGUUUAUUAAAAACAACCACUCUUCGAGGUGACCCGAUCACACCUCAUCAAAAAAGAUUGGUGGCGACUCCCAUUUUCGUUUUUAUUUUUAAAAAAACCCAAGUCGACCCCGUUUUCAUCCAAAAAAUGGUGUCAACAGAGUCUUUACAGCUUUGAGGAAAAAAAGACAGAAAAAGAAUUUUAAAGACACAAAUUAAUAAAUUAAUUUUUUUAAUCUACGUUUUAUUAAAACACACACCCAAAAAUCACCUCAUUUUCCCGUAGCUUAUUAUUUACAGUUUUUCUUGCAAUCCAAGUGCGAGAUGAUCACAAAUUCCAAUUGGCAAUUGGAAAAUGAGAUACGAUUUUUAUGUUGUUUUUUUUUUCAUUUUUAAAUAUAAUAAAGGCAAAAUUAACGGAAGGGAAAACUUUCUGCUUGGUUUAAAAGUCAGAUAUCAAUUACAAGACAAAAAAAACAAAGACAAGUAUUGGGGACCAGUAGAUGAUAGUGAGUGACACUAUUUGAUUUAGUCUAAUUAUUACAACAUGUUUGAUUGAAACUAUUUUGUAAUCUCUGAUUAAAUAAAUAUUGACAGGAAAAGACUUCAAUUUUCUUCUUUUCCUUAGCUAUAAAAUUGAAUUUCUAGUUUGGAUUACAUGCCUUUGGUUCUCAUCUCUAGUUGUGUAAGGCUGAGUCGCUGUUAAUUAGUUGGAUGGACCUACAUUAAAAACAUGAAUUGAAAAGAUAAGUAAUAGAAACUUUGUCAGAUUUAGACAAAUAUCAACCACAUCUUUAUUAACAUUUUACAUUUCUUAUCCCAAUAUUCAAAACCAAACAAUAAUACAUUCAUUGCAUGUUCCUUUUCUCAAAUAUCAUUUUAUUUAAUGUCAUUAGACAUUACUCUAUUCUUUUUUCUUUGUGAUAAAAAUUGUUAAACAAAAAAUUAUUACAAAUGUUGUAGGAAUCUAUCCUUUGAGAUUGUUUGAUUCUAGUUUUUGACAAAUUGCUCAAAGUUGAUGGGACAAAACAAGUGAAUUUGAUUCUAGUUUAGUGAGAUCAAAAUUUGUUGGCAAAUUAAAUUACUCAAUGGGUAAAUAUCCAUGGAAGUUAUUGUCCCAAAGUGGGGUUGGACUUGGAUGGUAUCUGCGAGACUCAUUUUUAUCAUAUUCAAAGCAGUGGCUGCCGAAUAAAUUACAACUAGAAAUAAAAAUAGAUCAGUUGGCUGCCAAGAGGUUUUGAGGGUCAUGCUUGUUCCCUAUCAACCCGAGUACUACUAAGUAAGUACCCCUCUAAAUGGGGAGAACUUUGUUGAUCUUUCAUUGGUUUAAAAGUCUAAAUACCAAUUGUAAGGCAUCAAAACAACAAAGACAAGUAUUGGGGACCAGCUGAAGAGAGUGAGUGACACGGUUUGAUUUAGAGUCUCAUGAUUGCAAUAUAUUUGAUCGUGAUCCUCAAAUUUGAUUGAAAUGUCUAACAAAAUAAAUACCAAGAUGGAAAGACCUUUUUUUCUAUAAAAUCUAAAUUUCUAGUUUUGAAGACAUGCUUGUGGUUCUCAUCUCUUACUUGUUCUGCACGGCUAAGUUGCAGUUGCUUCGAUGGACCUAUGUUGGGAAACAUGAAUUGAAAAGAAUGCCAACAAGUAAUAGAAAUUUUGCAAUAUUCAGAUAGAUCAAAUUAAGCUUUUUGUGGACCAUUCUCAGAUAAUUACUUUGGCAAUCUUGAAUUUAACAAUCUAACCAUUAAAUUUAACAAUAUAAUUAUAGUUGUCUUGCAUUUUAAAUUUUGAAUUGAUUUAAUACCUCUAUCAUUUCGGUCCAAAACUUUGUUUAUUUCAUAUAUAUUUAAGUAUUUUUGAAUGUAACUAAGUAAGCAUGUUUCUUCUACCGCGAGUCAAAAGGUUGCAACAAUUUUAGCCAUUUUGUACACAAUAUAACAUUAUAUUGUUGCCUUAAUUAAAGCAGAAUAAUAUAUAUUUCCAUAAGUUUUUAAAAAUAUCAUAAAUUUUCAUUGGGAAUUUUAUUGGUGCAUUCUAAAUUACAUAAUAAUCAGAAAUAUAAAAGAUUUCCAUUGGGAAUUUGUUGGUGUAUUCUCGCCUUUUAGUAAAAGUAAUAAUAAAAAAUUUUGUUGAUUCACCUUUACUAUGAAAAUAAAAAUAAAAAAUUACAAAAUUAGAACCGUAAAUCAAUUUUGGUUUAAAAUUUUAAACCUACAUAUUAAAGUUAAUCUUUGUGUAGAAAAUCUGAUAGGUAAGUAGCAUAGCAUCCAUCUAAUAGAUUAGGAAAUCUGUAGUCUUGAGAUGGAAUAGAUUUUACGGUCACAUUGGCAACCUUAAAUUAUAAUCUUCUUUGAUCUCGUUUGCAUAACAUCCAUCUAAUUUUGAGAAUUCUUCACUUUUAAUUUCAAAAUUGUAAUUAAAUAGUUUUAUCCAAUUAAAUAAUAAUAAUAUAUGGCUAUGGUGAUGUCUAUAAGAUGGGAACAAAAAUUAAACCCGUUGUGAGUGGUGGGGUAGGCGUGGGUAUGACCUUGUACCUAAGUCAUCCCCACCUACCCCAUCCCAUCCCGCAUAAUAUAAUAAACAUAUUUAAAAAAUAAACAUUUAUAAAAAUUAAUUUAAUAAUUAAUUUAAUAAUAUUUAAUUUUUGCUCUUGUGUUGCAUUUGAAGAUAUUUAUGAUGUAUUUGAGAUAUUGUUUGUAUUUUGAUAUUAUGUAAUGACUUUAUUUUUUAAAUUUUUAAACUUGAAAUUAUAUCUUAUUUACCAACUAAAGGUCGUAACGACUUACCUUUUUUUUAAAUAAUGUUUAUUUAAUAUAUCCACAACAAUAUCAGUCUGAUUUACUGAAAAAUAUAUAUUAUAUAUCCACAACAAUAAAUUAAUUUAGUUAUUACGUCUCAUCCAAUAAUAAUAUUUUCACUAUUACCAAAUUUUUUCUCUUUUAAUAAUUGUUUGGAAAAUGGCUUCAAGAUGAAUUUAGACAAAUAGUUUAGUAGUAGAUUAAAUUCUUUGGAUAUAUUAACCAAAUCCACACCAGAAAAAUUUACCUAUGAUGGAUUUAAUUGAACAUAUAAAAUAAUAACUUGUUAGAAGGGUUGAUUAAUUGGAAAGCAUAGAAUGGGUUAAUGAAUUAGAAAGCAAGAAUUUAUAAAACUUAAGGAUAUAAUUUUGUAUUGGAAUUAUUCAGUGGGAUGAAGAGUAAAUUUCAAGUAGCAAAAGGAUGGAUCCAUCUCACUCCCUUCCAUAUUUAGUCUUUUGCAAAUAUUCAAGAAUAGGCUGAUGUACAAUUAUUUUACUUUGAAUGCAUGAGUCUAUGGUAAGGACGGGGUCCCAGCAGUAAGGUAAAAUGGUAAGUGUUGAAACAGAAAAUAAAAGAAAUGUAGAUGAUUUAACGAUGAUGGGGUCUUAUGGUGCUUUGGAAUCAUCGUUUUUUUAAAGAUGAUUUGAUUUGGAGAAAAGGAGAGGCCGGAUGUGGGUAUUUGGUUGUAUCUUUAUUGUUGUACAAAAAUCUUGCUAGUUCGAGGAUCAACUUUCCUUUCAAUUUUAAUAAAAAUUAUAUAUGAACUUGUGAACUUGUAUUCAAAUUGAAUCUUUCCAUUGAGUCGCCCUUGCAAGUCAAUGCAGCAAUCAAGAACCAUAUUAUUAAUACCCAGCUAAGAUCGUGAACGUUUUCUACUCUAUAUCUUUCUCCUAAAUGCUUCAUUCCAGUGAAAAGUGCUGCAAUUCGUACGGCAAUGGCACCUCUGGCGAUAAUUACAUGGAAAUACUCCCAAAUUAAUCUCUUUGUGGAAGCGUCCUCCUCAUUAGCAGGUUUCUCCGGUCUGAGAUAUGCAUUCAUUGGUUGCACAAAGGCAAAAACUAUGGCAGCAAUACCAAGCUUAAAAUGUAAGGAGCUGACAUAGAAACCCCGAAGUUCGGCAACUGCAAAAAGAACACCAAGUAGGAUAAUUGCUAAUCCUGAAUAUUGUAGGUACAUACCAUCCAUCACCCUUUACAUGUUUUAGGUAUCUAGCAGCCAAUAUUCCACCAGGAAUCAAAAUACCCCAGGAGAGGAACAGCAUAAACCCAUGUACAGCUUUGACAGGUUGUAAACCUUGCUCAGCCUCGGAAGAACCACGGAUAAGCAGCACUUGCACAGCCCUUUGACUCGUGACAGUAUGCAUGUUUUUCUCACUGAGAUGUUCAUCAGUCCAUUUUGAACCCAUUGCCCGUAUGACUUUAAGAGGAGUUGUAGGAUAAAAAAUGUUCUUGCACUCUGGCUUAUCAUUUUGAUUGCAUGAUGGUUUUAAUGGACGUGUGAAUUCCAAAGUAAUGAUGCCAUCUUCUGACCUGCACCUGACAUGUGUUAGAUUCUCAUUUGUUAGAUGGAUGUUCAAGGGAUGCUUUCCAUCAAUCCAAUAUGUAUUUAAAUGCCCUUUUCAAGUAUCGCCAAUCCAGCCCACAUAUGCAUAGCUAUUCACCAUCCCAUUACCGAAACCUAUUGCAAGAUAGCCACUCUUAUUCACACCACGGGCAGCAAUAGUUAUUGAAUCUUCUGAUAACGUCCAAAAGAAAGUAACUUGAUCAUCUAAAAGCACACUAGUGUUAUACAUAUCAGACAGGGCACCAUCAAGAACCAUAUUAUUAAUACCCAGCUAAGAUCGUGAACGUUUUCUACUCUAUCUUUCUCCUAAAUGCUUCAUUCCAGUGAAAAGUGCUGCAAUUCGUACGGCAAUGGCACCUCUGCCGAUAAUUACAUGGAAAUACUCCCAAAUUAAUCUCUUUGUGGAAGCGUCCUCCUCAUUAGCAGGUUUCUCCGGUCUAAGAUAUGCAUUCAUUGGUUGCACAAAGGCAAAAACUAUGGCAGCAAUACCAAGCUUAACAUGUAAGGAGCUGACAUAGAAACCCCGAAGUUUGGCAACUGCAAAAAGAACACCAAGUAGGAUAAUUGCUAAUCCUGAAUAUUGUAGGUACAUACCAUCCAUCACCCUUUACAUGUUUUAGGUAUCUAGCAGCCAAUAUUCCACCAGGAAUCAAAAUACCCCAGGAGAGGAACAGCAUAAACCCAUGUACAGCUUUGACAGGUUGUAAACCUUGCUCAGCCUCGGAAGAACCACGGAUAAGCAGCACUUGCACAGCCCUUUGACUCGUGACAGUAUGCAUGUUUUUCUCUCUGAGAUGUUCAUCAGUCCAUUUUGAACCCAUUGCCCGUAUGACUUUAAGAGGAGUUGUAGGAUCAAAAAUGUUCUUGCACUCUGGCUUAUCAUUUUGAUUGCAUGAUGGUUUUAAUGGACGUGUGAAUUCCAAAGUAAUGAUGCCAUCUUCUGACCUGCACCUGACAUGUGUUAGAUUCUCAUUUGUUAGAUGGAUGUUCAAGGGAUGCUUUCCAUCAAUCUAAUAUGUAUUUAAAUGCCCUUUUCCAGUAUCGCCAAUCCAGCCCACAUAUGCAUAGCUAUUCACCAUCCCAUUACCGAAACCUAUUGCAAGAUAGCCACUCUUAUUCACACCACGGGCAGCAAUAGUUAUUGAAUCUUCUGAUAACGUCCAAAAGAAAGUAACUUGAUCAUCUAAAAGCACACUAGUGUUAUACAUAUCAGACAGGGCACCAUCAAGAACCAUAUUAUUAAUACCCAGCUAAGAUCGUGAACGUUUUCUACUCUAUCUUUCUCCUAAAUGCUUCAUUCCAGUGAAAAGUGCUGCAAUUCGUACGGCAAUGGCACCUCUGCCGAUAAUUACAUGGAAAUACUCCCAAAUUAAUCUCUUUGUGGAAGCGUCCUCCUCAUUAGCAGGUUUCUCCGGUCUGAGAUAUGCAUUCAUUGGUUGCACAAAGGCAAAAACUAUGGCAGCAAUACCAAGCUUAACAUGUAAGGAGCUGACAUAGAAACCCCGAAGUUCGGCAACUGCAAAAAGAACACCAAGUAGGAUAAUUGCUAAUCCUGAAUAUUGUAAGUACAUACCAUCCAUCACCCUUUACAUGUUUUAGGUAUCUAGCAGCCAAUAUUCCACCAGGAAUCAAAAUACCCCAGGAGAGGAACAGCAUAAACCCAUGUACAGCUUUGACAGGUUGUAAACCUUGCUCAGCCUCGGAAGAACCACGGAUAAGCAGCACUUGCACAGCCCUUUGACUCGUGACAGUAUGCAUGUUUUUCUCACUGAGAUGUUCAUCAGUCCAUUUUGAACCCAUUGCCCGUAUGACUUUAAGAGGAGUUGUAGGAUCAAAAAUGUUCUUGCACUCUGGCUUAUCAUUUUGAUUGCAUGAUGGUUUUAAUGGACGUGUGAAUUCCAAAGUAAUGAUGCCAUCUUCUGACCUGCACCUGACAUGUGUUAGAUUCUCAUUUGUUAGAUGGAUGUUCAAGGGAUGCUUUCCAUCAAUCCAAUAUGUAUUUAAAUGCCCUUUUCCAGUAUCGCCAAUCCAGCCCACAUAUGCAUAGCUAUUCACCAUCCCAUUACCGAAACCUAUUGCAAGAUAGCCACUCUUAUUCACACCACGGGCAGCAAUAGUUAUUGAAUCUUCUGAUAACGUCCAAAAGAAAGUAACUUGAUCAUCUAAAAGCACACUAGUGUUAUACAUAUCAGACAGGGCACCAUCAAGAACCAUAUUAUUAAUACCCAGCUAAGAUCGUGAACGUUUUCUACUCUAUCUUUCUCCUAAAUGCUUCAUUCCAGUGAAAAGUGCUGCAAUUCGUACGGCAAUGGCACCUCUGCCGAUAAUUACAUGGAAAUACUCCCAAAUUAAUCUCUUUGUGGAAGCGUCCUCCUCAUUAAGAGGUUUCUCCGGUCUGAGAUAUGCAUUCAUUGGUUGCACAAAGGCAAAAACUAUGGCAGCAAUACCAAGCUUAACAUGUAAGGAGCUGACAUAGAAACCCCGAAGUUCGGCAACUGCAAAAAGAACACCAAGUAGGAUAAUUGCUAAUCCUGAAUAUUGUAGGUACAUACCAUCCAUCACCCUUUACAUGUUUUAGGUAUCUAGCAGCCAAUAUUCCACCAGGAAUUAAAAUACCCCAGGAGAGGAACAGCAUAAACCCAUGUACAGCUUUGACAGGUUGUAAACCUUGCUCAGCCUCGGAAGAACCACGGAUAAGCAGCACUUGCACAGUCCUUUGACUCGUGACAGUAUGCAUGUUUUUCUCACUGAGAUGUUCAUCAGUCUAUUUUGAACCCAUUGCCCGUAUGACUUUAAGAGGAGUUGUAGGAUCAAAAAUGUUCUUGCACUCUGGCUUAUCAUUUUGAUUGCAUGAUGGUUUUAAUGGAUGUGUGAAUUCCAAAGUAAUGAUGCCAUCUUCUGACCUGCACCUGACAUGUGUUAGAUUCUCAUUUGUUAGAUGGAUGUUCAAGGGAUGCUUUCCAUCAAUCCAAUAUGUAUUUAAAUGCCCUUUUCCAGUAUCGCCAAUCCAGCCCACAUAUGCAUAGCUAUUCACCAUCCCAUUACCGAAACCUAUUGCAAGAUAGCCACUCUUAUUCACACCACGGGCAGCAAUAGUUAUUGAAUCUUCUGAUAACGUCCAAAAGAAAGUAACUUGAUCAUCUAAAAGCACACUAGUGUUAUACAUAUCAGACAGGGCACCAUCAAGAACCAUAUUAUUAAUACCCAGCUAAGAUCGUGAACGUUUUCUACUCUAUCUUUCUCCUAAAUGCUUCAUUCCAGUGAAAAGUGCUGCAAUUCGUACGGCAAUGGCACCUCUGCCGAUAAUUACAUGGAAAUACUCCCAAAUUAAUCUCUUUGUGGAAGCGUCCUCCUCAUUAGCAGGUUUCUCCGGUCUGAGAUAUGCAUUCAUUGGUUGCACAAAGGCAAAAACUAUGGCAGCAAUACCAAGCUUAACAUGUAAGGAGCUGACAUAGAAACCCCGAAGUUCGGCAACUGCAAAAAGAACACCAAGUAGGAUAAUUGCUAAUCCUGAAUAUUGUAGGUACAUACCAUCCAUCACCCUUUACAUGUUUUAGGUAUCUAGCAGCCAAUAUUCCACCAGGAAUCAAAAUACCCCAGGAGAGGAACAGCAUAAACCCAUGUACAGCUUUGACAGGUUGUAAACCUUGCUCAGCCUCGGAAGAACCACGGAUAAGCAGCACUUGCACAGACCUUUGACUCGUGACAGUAUGCAUGUUUUUCUCACUGAGAUGUUCAUCAGUCCAUUUUGAACCCAUUGCCCGUAUGACUUUAAGAGGAGUUGUAGGAUCAAAAAUGUUCUUGCACUCUGGCUUAUCAUUUUGAUUGCAUGAUGGUUUUAAUGGACGUGUGAAUUCCAAAGUAAUGAUGCCAUCUUCUGACCUGCACCUGACAUGUGUUAGAUUCUCAUUUGUUAGAUGGAUGUUCAAGGGAUGCUUUCCAUCAAUCCAAUAUGUAUUUAAAUGCCCUUUUCCAGUAUCGCCAAUCCAGCCCACAUAUGCAUAGCUAUUCACCAUCCCAUUACCGAAACCUAUUGCAAGAUAGCCACUCUUAUUCACACCACGGGCAGCAAUAGUUAUUGAAUCUUCUGAUAACGUCCAAAAGAAAGUAACUUGAUCAUCUAAAAGCACACUAGUGUUAUACAUAUCAGACAGGGCACCAUCAAGAACCAUAUUAUUAAUACCCAGCUAAGAUCGUGAACGUUUUCUACUCUAUCUUUCUCCUAAAUGCUUCAUUCCAGUGAAAAGUGCUGCAAUUCGUACGGCAAUGGCACCUCUGCCGAUAAUUACAUGGAAAUACUCCCAAAUUAAUCUCUUUGUGGAAGCGUCCUCCUCAUUAGCAGGUUUCUCCGGUCUGAGAUAUGCAUUCAUUGGUUGCACAAAGGCAAAAACUAUGGCAGCAAUACCAAGCUUAACAUGUAAGGAGCUGACAUAGAAACCCCGAAGUUCGGCAACUGCAAAAAGAACACCAAGUAGGAUAAUUGCUAAUCCUGAAUAUUGUAGGUACAUACCAUCCAUCACCCUUUACAUGUUUUAGGUAUCUAGCAGCCAAUAUUCCACCAGGAAUCAAAAUACCCCAGGAGAGGAACAGCAUAAACCCAUGUACAGCUUUGACAGGUUGUAAACCUUGCUCAGCCUCGGAAGAACCACGGAUAAGCAGCACUUGCACAGCCCUUUGACUCGUGACAGUAUGCAUGUUUUUCUCACUGAGAUGUUCAUCAGUCCAUUUUGAACCCAUUGCCCGUAUGACUUUAAGAGGAGUUGUAGGAUCAAAAAUGUUCUUGCACUCUGGCUUAUCAUUUUGAUUGCAUGAUGGUUUUAAUGGACGUGUGAAUUCCAAAGUAAUGAUGCCAUCUUCUGACCUGCACCUGACAUGUGUUAGAUUCUCAUUUGUUAGAUGGAUGUUCAAGGAUGCUUUCCAUCAAUCCAAUAUGUAUUUAAAUGCCCUUUUCCAGUAUCGCCAAUCCAGCCCACAUAUGCAUAGCUAUUCACCAUCCCAUUACCGAAACCUAUUGCAAGAUAGCCACUCUUAUUCACACCACGGGCAGCAAUAGUUAUUGAAUCUUCUGAUAACGUCCAAAAGAAAGUAACUUGAUCAUCUAAAAGCACACUAGUGUUAUACAUAUCAGACAGGGCACCAUCAAGAACCAUAUUAUUAAUACCCAGCUAAGAUCGUGAACGUUUUCUACUCUAUCUUUCUCCUAAAUGCUUCAUUCCAGUGAAAAGUGCUGCAAUUCGUACGGCAAUGGCACCUCUGCCGAUAAUUACAUGGAAAUACUCCCAAAUUAAUCUCUUUGUGGAAGCGUCCUCCUCAUUAGUAGGUUUCUCCGGUCUGAGAUAUGCAUUCAUUGGUUGCACAAAGGCAAAAACUAUGGCAGCAAUACCAAGCUUAACAUGUAAGGAGCUGACAUAGAAACCCCGAAGUUCGGCAACUGCAAAAAGAACACCAAGUAGGAUAAUUGCUAAUCCUGAAUAUUGUAGGUACAUACCAUCCAUCACCCUUUACAUGUUUUAGGUAUCUAGCAGCCAAUAUUCCACCAGGAAUCAAAAUACCCCAGGAGAGGAACAGCAUAAACCCAUGUACAGCUUUGACAGGUUGUAAACCUUGCUCAGCCUCGGAAGAACCACGGAUAAGCAGCACUUGCAAAGCCCUUUGACUAGUGACAGUAUGCAUGUUUUUCUCACUGAGAUGUUCAUCAGUCCAUUUUGAACCCAUUGCCCGUAUGACUUUAAGCGGAGUUGUAGGAUCAAAAAUGUUCUUGCACUCUGGCUUAUCAUUUUGAUUGCAUGAUGGUUUUAAUGGACGUGUGAAUUCCAAAGUAAUGAUGCCAUCUUCUGACCUGCACCUGACAUGUGUUAGAUUCUCAUUUGUUAGAUGGAUGUUCAAGGGAUGCUUUCCAUCAAUCCAAUAUGUAUUUAAAUGCCCUUUUCCAGUAUCGCCAAUCCAGCCCACAUAUGCAUAGUUAUUCACCAUCCCAUUACCGAAACCUAUUGCAAGAUAGCCACUCUUAUUCACACCACGGGCAGCAAUAGUUAUUGAAUCUUCUGAUAACGUCCAAAAGAAAGUAACUUGAUCAUCUAAAAGCACACUAGUGUUAUACAUAUCAGACAGGGCACCAUCAAGAACCAUAUUAUUAAUACCCAGCUAAGAUCGUGAACGUUUUCUACUCUAUCUUUCUCCUAAAUGCUUCAUUCCAGUGAAAAGUGCUGCAAUUCGUACGGCAAUGGCACCUCUGCCGAUAAUUACAUGGAAAUACUCCCAAAUUAAUCUCUUUGUGGAAGCGUCCUCCUCAUUAGCAGGUUUCUCCGGUCUGAGAUAUGCAUUCAUUGGUUGCACAAAGGCAAAAACUAUGGCAGCAAUACCAAGCUUAACAUGUAAGGAGCUGACAUAGAAACCCCGAAGUUCGGCAACUGCAAAAAGAACACCAAGUAGGAUAAUUGCUAAUCCUGAAUAUUGUAGGUACAUACCAUCCAUCACCCUUUACAUGUUUUAGGUAUCUAGCAGCCAAUAUUCCACCAGGAAUCAAAAUACCCCAGGAGAGGAACAGCAUAAACCCAUGUACAGCUUUGACAGGUUGUAAACCUUGCUCAGCCUCGGAAGAACCACGGAUAAGCAGCACUUGCACAGCCCUUUGACUCGUGACAGUAUGCAUGUUUUUCUCACUGAGAUGUUCAUCAGUCCAUUUUGAACCCAUUGCCCGUAUGACUUUAAGAGGAGUUGUAGGAUCAAAAAUGUUCUUGCACUCUGGCUUAUCAUUUUGAUUGCAUGAUGGUUUUAAUGGACGUGUGAAUUCCAAAGUAAUGAUGCCAUCUUCUGACCUGCACCUGACAUGUGUUAGAUUCUCAUUUGUUAGAUGGAUGUUCAAGGGAUGCUUUCCAUCAAUCCAAUAUGUAUUUAAAUGCCCUUUUCCAGUAUCGCCAAUCCAGCCCACAUAUGCAUAGCUAUUCACCAUCCCAUUACCGAAACCUAUUGCAAGAUAGCCACUCUUAUUCACACCACGGGCAGCAAUAGUUAUUGAAUCUUCUGAUAACGUCCAAAAGAAAGUAACUUGAUCAUCUAAAAGCACACUAGUGUUAUACAUAUCAGACAGGGCACCAUCAAGAACCAUAUUAUUAAUACCCAGCUAAGAUCGUGAACGUUUUCUACUCUAUCUUUCUCCUAAAUGCUUCAUUCCAGUGAAAAGUGCUGCAAUUCGUACGGCAAUGGCACCUCUGCCGAUAAUUACAUGGAAAUACUCCCAAAUUAAUCUCUUUGUGGAAGCGUCCUCCUCAUUAGCAGGUUUCUCCGGUCUGAGAUAUGCAUUCAUUGGUUGCACAAAGGCAAAAACUAUGGCAGCAAUACCAAGCUUAACAUGUAAGGAGCUGACAUAGAAACCCCGAAGUUCGGCAACUGCAAAAAGAACACCAAGUAGGAUAAUUGCUAAUCCUGAAUAUUGUAGGUACAUACCAUCCAUCACCCUUUACAUGUUUUAGGUAUCUAGCAGCCAAUAUUCCACCAGGAAUCAAAAUACCCCAGGAGAGGAACAGCAUAAACCCAUGUACAGCUUUGACAGGUUGUAAACCUUGCUCAGCCUCGGAAGAACCACGGAUAAGCAGCACUUGCACAGCCCUUUGACUCGUGACAGUAUGCAUGUUUUUCUCACUGAGAUGUUCAUCAGUCCAUUUUGAACCCAUUGCCCGUAUGACUUUAAGAGGAGUUGUAGGAUCAAAAAUGUUCUUGCACUCUGGCUUAUCAUUUUGAUUGCAUGAUGGUUUUAAUGGACGUGUGAAUUCCAAAGUAAUGAUGCCAUCUUCUGACCUGCACCUGACAUGUGUUAGAUUCUCAUUUGUUAGAUGGAUGUUCAAGGGAUGCUUUCCAUCAAUCCAAUAUGUAUUUAAAUGCCCUUUUCCAGUAUCGCCAAUCCAGCCCACAUAUGCAUAGCUAUUCACCAUCCCAUUACCGAAACCUAUUGCAAGAUAGCCACUCUUAUUCACACCACGGGCAGCAAUAGUUAUUGAAUCUUCUGAUAACGUCCAAAAGAAAGUAACUUGAUCAUCUAAAAGCACACUAGUGUUAUACAUAUCAGACAGGGCACCAUCAAGAACCAUAUUAUUAAUACCCAGCUAAGAUCGUGAACGUUUUCUACUCUAUCUUUCUCCUAAAUGCUUCAUUCCAGUGAAAAGUGCUGCAAUUCGUACGGCAAUGGCACCUCUGCCGAUAAUUACAUGGAAAUACUCCCAAAUUAAUCUCUUUGUGGAAGCGUCCUCCUCAUUAGCAGGUUUCUCCGGUCUGAGAUAUGCAUUCAUUGGUUGCACAAAGGCAAAAACUAUGGCAGCAAUACCAAGCUUAACAUGUAAGGAGCUGACAUAGAAACCCCGAAGUUCGGCAACUGCAAAAAGAACACCAAGUAGGAUAAUUGCUAAUCCUGAAUAUUGUAGGUACAUACCAUCCAUCACCCUUUACAUGUUUUAGGUAUCUAGCAGCCAAUAUUCCACCAGGAAUCAAAAUACCCCAGGAGAGGAACAGCAUAAACCCAUGUACAGCUUUGACAGGUUGUAAACCUUGCUCAGCCUCGGAAGAACCUACGGAUAAGCAGCACUUGCACAGCCCUUUGACUCGUGACAGUAUGCAUGUUUUUCUCACUGAGAUGUUCAUCAGUCCAUUUUGAACCCAUUGCCCGUAUGACUUUAAGAGGAGUUGUAGGAUCAAAAAUGUUCUUGCACUCUGGCUUAUCAUUUUGAUUGCAUGAUGGUUUUAAUGGACGUGUGAAUUCCAAAGUAAUGAUGCCAUCUUCUGACCUGCACCUGACAUGUGUUAGAUUCUCAUUUGUUAGAUGGAUGUUCAAGGGAUGCUUUCCAUCAAUCCAAUAUGUAUUUAAAUGCCCUUUUCCAGUAUCGCCAAUCCAGCCCACAUAUGCAUAGCUAUUCACCAUCCCAUUACCGAAACCUAUUGCAAGAUAGCCACUCCUAUUCACACCACGGGCAGCAAUAGUUAUUGAAUCUUCUGAUAACGUCCAAAAGAAAGUAACUUGAUCAUCUAAAAGCACACUAGUGUUAUACAUAUCAGACAGGGCACCAUCAAGAACCAUAUUAUUAAUACCCAGCUAAGAUCGUGAACGUUUUCUACUCUAUCUUUCUCCUAAAUGCUUCAUUCCAGUGAAAAGUGCUGCAAUUCGUACGGCAAUGGCACCUCUGCCGAUAAUUACAUGGAAAUACUCCCAAAUUAAUCUCUUUGUGGAAGCGUCCUCCUCAUUAGCAGGUUUCUCCGGUCUGAGAUAUGCAUUCAUUGGUUGCACAAAGGCAAAAACUAUGGCAGCAAUACCAAGCUUAACAUGUAAGGAGCUGACAUAGAAACCCCGAAGUUCGGCAACUGCAAAAAGAACACCAAGUAGGAUAAUUGCUAAUCCUGAAUAUUGUAGGUACAUACCAUCCAUCACCCUUUACAUGUUUUAGGUAUCUAGCAGCCAAUAUUCCACCAGGAAUCAAAAUACCCCAGGAGAGGAACAGCAUAAACCCAUGUACAGCUUUGACAGGUUGUAAACCUUGCUCAGCCUCGGAAGAACUACGGAUAAGCAGCACUUGCACAGCCCUUUGACUCGUGACAGUAUGCAUGUUUUUCUCACUGAGAUGUUCAUCAGUCCAUUUUGAACCCAUUGCCCGUAUGACUUUAAGAGGAGUUGUAGGAUCAAAAAUGUUCUUGCACUCUGGCUUAUCAUUUUGAUUGCAUGAUGGUUUUAAUGGACGUGUGAAUUCCAAAGUAAUGAUGCCAUCUUCUGACCUGCACCUGACAUGUGUUAGAUUCUCAUUUGUUAGAUGGAUGUUCAAGGGAUGCUUUCCAUCAAUCCAAUAUGUAUUUAAAUGACCUUUUCCAGUAUCGCCAAUCCAGCCCACAUAUGCAUAGCUAUUCACCAUCCCAUUACCGAAACCUAUUGCAAGAUAGCCACUCUUAUUCACACCACGGGCAGCAAUAGUUAUUGAAUCUUCUGAUAACGUCCAAAAGAAAGUAACUUGAUCAUCUAAAAGCACACUAGUGUUAUACAUAUCAGACAGGGCACCAUCAAGAACCAUAUUAUUAAUACCCAGCUAAGAUCGUGAACGUUUUCUACUCUAUCUUUCUCCUAAAUGCUUCAUUCCAGUGAAAAGUGCUGCAAUUCGUACGGCAAUGGCACCUCUGCCGAUAAUUACAUGGAAAUACUCCCAAAUUAAUCUCUUUGUGGAAGCGUCCUCCUCAUUAGCAGGUUUCUCCGGUCUGAGAUAUGCAUUCAUUGGUUGCACAAAGGCAAAAACUAUGGCAGCAAUACCAAGCUUAACAUGUAAGGAGCUGACAUAGAAACCCCGAAGUUCGGCAACUGCAAAAAGAACACCAAGUAGGAUAAUUGCUAAUCCUGAAUAUUGUAGGUACAUACCAUCCAUCACCCUUUACAUGUUUUAGGUAUCUAGCAGCCAAUAUUCCACCAGGAAUCAAAAUACCCCAGGAGAGGAACAGCAUAAACCCAUGUACAGCUUUGACAGGUUGUAAACCUUGCUCAGCCUCGGAAGAACCACGGAUAAGCAGCACUUGCAAAGCCCUUUGACUCGUGACAGUAUGCAUGUUUUUCUCACUGAGAUGUUCAUCAGUCCAUUUUGAACCCAUUGCCCGUAUGACUUUAAGCGGAGUUGUAGGAUCAAAAAUGUUCUUGCACUCUGGCUUAUCAUUUUGAUUGCAUGAUGGUUUUAAUGGACGUGUGAAUUCCAAAGUAAUGAUGCCAUCUUCUGACCUGCACCUGACAUGUGUUAGAUUCUCAUUUGUUAGAUGGAUGUUCAAGGGAUGCUUUCCAUCAAUCCAAUAUGUAUUUAAAUGACCUUUUCCAGUAUCGCCAAUCCAGCCCACAUAUGCAUAGUUAUUCACCAUCCCAUUACCGAAACCUAUUGCAAGAUAGCCACUCUUAUUCACACCACGGGCAGCAAUAGUUAUUGAAUCUUCUGAUAACGUCCAAAAGAAAGUAACUUGAUCAUCUAAAAGCACACUAGUGUUAUACAUAUCAGACAGGGCACCAUCAAGAACCAUAUUAUUAAUACCCAGCUAAGAUCGUGAACGUUUUCUACUCUAUCUUUCUCCUAAAUGCUUCAUUCCAGUGAAAAGUGCUGCAAUUCGUACGGCAAUGGCACCUCUGCCGAUAAUUACAUGGAAAUACUCCCAAAUUAAUCUCUUUGUGGAAGCGUCCUCCUCAUUAGCAGGUUUCUCCGGUCUGAGAUAUGCAUUCAUUGGUUGCACAAAGGCAAAAACUAUGGCAGUAAUACCAAGCUUAACAUGUAAGGAGCUGACAUAGAAACCCCGAAAUUCGGCAACUGCAAAAAGAACACCAAGUAGGAUAAUUGCUAAUCCUGAAUAUUGUAGGUACAUACCAUCCAUCACCCUUUACAUGUUUUAGGUAUCUAGCAGCCAAUAUUCCACCAGGAAUCAAAAUACCCCAGGAGAGGAACAGCAUAAACCCAUGUACAGCUUUGACAGGUUGUAAACCUUGCUCAGCCUCGGAAGAACCACGGAUAAGCAGCACUUGCACAGCCCUUUGACUCGUGACAGUAUUCAUGUUUUUCUCACUGAGAUGUUCAUCAGUCCAUUUUGAACCCAUUGCCCGUAUGACUUUAAGAGGAGUUGUAGGAUCAAAAAUGUUCUUGCACUCUGGCUUAUCAUUUUGAUUGCAUGAUGGUUUUAAUGGACGUGUGAAUUCCAAAGUAAUGAUGCCAUCUUCUAACCUGCACCUGACAUGUGUUAGAUUCUCAUUUGUUAGAUGGAUGUUCAAGGGAUGCUUUCCAUCAAUCCAAUAUGUAUUUAAAUGCCCUUUUCCAGUAUCGCCAAUCCAGCCCACAUAUGCAUAGCUAUUCACCAUCCCAUUACCGAAACCUAUUGCAAGAUAGCCACUCUUAUUCACACCACGGGCAGCAAUAGUUAUUGAAUCUUCUGAUAACGUCCAAAAGAAAGUAACUUGAUCAUCUAAAAGCACACUAGUGUUAUACAUAUCAGACAGGGCACCAUCAAGAACCAUAUUAUUAAUACCCAGCUAAGAUCGUGAACGUUUUCUACUCUAUCUUUCUCCUAAAUGCUUCAUUCCAGUGAAAAGUGCUGCAAUUCGUACGGCAAUGGCACCUCUGCCGAUAAUUACAUGGAAAUACUCCCAAAUUAAUCUCUUUGUGGAAGCGUCCUCCUCAUUAGCAGGUUUCUCCGGUCUGAGAUAUGCAUUCAUUGGUUGCACAAAGGCAAAAACUAUGGCAGCAAUACCAAGCUUAACAUGUAAGGAGCUGACAUAGAAACCCCGAAGUUCGGCAACUGCAAAAAGAACACCAAGUAGGAUAAUUGCUAAUCCUGAAUAUUGUAGGUACAUACCAUCCAUCACCCUUUACAUGUUUUAGGUAUCUAGCAGCCAAUAUUCCACCAGGAAUCAAAAUACCCCAGGAGAGGAACAGCAUAAACCCAUGUACAGCUUUGACAGGUUGUAAACCUUGCUCAGCCUCGGAAGAACUACGGAUAAGCAGCACUUGCACAGCCCUUUGACUCGUGACAGUAUGCAUGUUUUUCUCACUGAGAUGUUCAUCAGUCCAUUUUGAACCCAUUGCCCGUAUGACUUUAAGAGGAGUUGUAGGAUCAAAAAUGUUCUUGCACUCUGGCUUAUCAUUUUGAUUGCAUGAUGGUUUUAAUGGACGUGUGAAUUCCAAAGUAAUGAUGCCAUCUUCUGACCUGCACCUGACAUGUGUUAGAUUCUCAUUUGUUAGAUGGAUGUUCAAGGGAUGCUUUCCAUCAAUCCAAUAUGUAUUUAAAUGCCCUUUUCCAGUAUCGCCAAUCCAGCCCACAUAUGCAUAGCUAUUCACCAUCCCAUUACCGAAACCUAUUGCAAGAUAGCCACUCCUAUUCACACCACGGGCAGCAAUAGUUAUUGAAUCUUCUGAUAACGUCCAAAAGAAAGUAACUUGAUCAUCUAAAAGCACACUAGUGUUAUACAUAUCAGACAGGGCACCAUCAAGAACCAUAUUAUUAAUACCCAGCUAAGAUCGUGAACGUUUUCUACUCUAUCUUUCUCCUAAAUGCUUCAUUCCAGUGAAAAGUGCUGCAAUUCGUACGGCAAUGGCACCUCUGCCGAUAAUUACAUGGAAAUACUCCCAAAUUAAUCUCUUUGUGGAAGCGUCCUCCUCAUUAGCAGGUUUCUCCGGUCUGAGAGAUGCAUUCAUUGGUUGCACAAAGGCAAAAACUAUGGCAGCAAUACCAAGCUUAACAUGUAAGGAGCUGACAUAGAAACCCCGAAGUUCGGCAACUGCAAAAAGAACACCAAGUAGGAUAAUUGCUAAUCCUGAAUAUUGUAGGUACAUACCAUCCAUCACCCUUUACAUGUUUUAGGUAUCUAGCAGCCAAUAUUCCACCAGGAAUCAAAAUACCCCAGGAGAGGAACAGCAUAAACCCAUGUACAGCUUUGACAGGUUGUAAACCUUGCUCAGCCUCGGAAGAACUACGGAUAAGCAGCACUUGCACAGCCCUUUGACUCGUGACAGUAUGCAUGUUUUUCUCACUGAGAUGUUCAUCAGUCCAUUUUGAACCCAUUGCCCGUAUGACUUUAAGAGGAGUUGUAGGAUCAAAAAUGUUCUUGCACUCUGGCUUAUCAUUUUGAUUGCAUGAUGGUUUUAAUGGACGUGUGAAUUCCAAAGUAAUGAUGCCAUCUUCUGACCUGCACCUGACAUGUGUUAGAUUCUCAUUUGUUAGAUGGAUGUUCAAGGGAUGCUUUCCAUCAAUCCAAUAUGUAUUUAAAUGCCCUUUUCCAGUAUCGCCAAUCCAGCCCACAUAUGCAUAGCUAUUCACCAUCCCAUUACCGAAACCUAUUGCAAGAUAGCCACUCCUAUUCACACCACGGGCAGCAAUAGUUAUUGAAUCUUCUGAUAACGUCCAAAAGAAAGUAACUUGAUCAUCUAAAAGCACACUAGUGUUAUACAUAUCAGACAGGGCACCAUCAAGAACCAUAUUAUUAAUACCCAGCUAAGAUCGUGAACGUUUUCUACUCUAUCUUUCUCCUAAAUGCUUCAUUCCAGUGAAAAGUGCUGCAAUUCGUACGGCAAUGGCACCUCUGCCGAUAAUUACAUGGAAAUACUCCCAAAUUAAUCUCUUUGUGGAAGCGUCCUCCUCAUUAGCAGGUUUCUCCGGUCUAAGAUAUGCAUUCAUUGGUUGCACAAAGGCAAAAACUAUGGCAGCAAUACCAAGCUUAACAUGUAAGGAGCUGACAUAGAAACCCCGAAGUUCGGAAACUGCAAAAAGAACACCAAGUAGGAUAAUUGCUAAUCCUGAAUAUUGUAGGUACAUACCAUCCAUCACCCUUUACAUGUUUUAGGUAUCUAGCAGCCAAUAUUCCACCAGGAAUCAAAAUACCCCAGGAGAGGAACAGCAUAAACCCAUGUACAGCUUUGACAGGUUGUAAACCUUGCUCAGCCUCGGAAGAACCACGGAUAAGCAGCACUUGCACAACCCAUUGACUCGUGACAGUAUGCAUGUUUUUCUCACUGAGAUGUUCAUCAGUCCAUUUUGAACCCAUUGCCCGUAUGACUUUAAGAGGAGUUGUAGGAUCAAAAAUGUUCUUGCACUCUGGCUUAUCAUUUUGAUUGCAUGAUGGUUUUAAUGGACGUGUGAAUUCCAAAGUAAUGAUGCCAUCUUCUGACCUGCACCUGACAUGUGUUAGAUUCUCAUUUGUUAGAUGGAUGUUCAAGGGAUGCUUUCCAUCAAUCCAAUAUGUAUUUAAAUGCCCUUUUCCAGUAUCGCCAAUCCAGCCCACAUAUGCAUAGCUAUUCACCAUCCCAUUACCGAAACCUAUUGCAAGAUAGCCACUCUUAUUCACACCACGGGCAGCAAUAGUUAUUGAAUCUUCUGAUAACGUCCAAAAGAAAGUAACUUGAUCAUCUAAAAGCACACUAGUGUUAUACAUAUCAGACAGGGCACCAUCAAGAACCAUAUUAUUAAUACCCAGCUAAGAUCGUGAACGUUUUCUACUCUAUCUUUCUCCUAAAUGCUUCAUUCCAGUGAAAAGUGCUGCAAUUCGUACGGCAAUGGCACCUCUGCCGAUAAUUACAUGGAAAUACUCCCAAAUUAAUCUCUUUGUGGAAGCGUCCUCCUCAUUAGCAGGUUUCUCCGGUCUGAGAUAUUCAUUCAUUGGUUGCACAAAGGCAAAAACUAUGGCAGCAAUACCAAGCUUAACAUGUAAGGAGCUGACAUAGAAACCCCGAAGUUCGGCAACUGCAAAAAGAACACCAAGUAGGAUAAUUGCUAAUCCUGAAUAUUGUAGGUACAUACCAUCCAUCACCCUUUACAUGUUUUAGGUAUCUAGCAGCCAAUAUUCCACCAGGAAUCAAAAUUCCCCAGGAGAGGAACAGCAUAAACCCAUGUACAGCUUUGACAGGUUGUAAACCUUGCUCAGCCUCGGAAGAACCACGGAUAAGCAGCACUUGCACAGCCCUUUGACUCGUGACAGUAUGCAUGUUUUUCUCACUGAGAUGUUCAUCAGUCCAUUUUGAACCCAUUGCCCGUAUGACUUUAAGAGGAGUUGUAGGAUCAAAAAUGUUCUUGCACUCUGGCUUAUCAUUUUGAUUGCAUGAUGGUUUUAAUGGACGUGUGAAUUCCAAAGUAAUGAUGCCAUCUUCUGACCUGCACCUGACAUGUGUUAGAUUCUCAUUUGUUAGAUGGAUGUUCAAGGGAUGCUUUCCAUCAAUCCAAUAUGUAUUUAAAUGCCCUUUUCCAGUAUCGCCAAUCCAGCCCACAUAUGCAUAGCUAUUCACCAUCCCAUUACCGAAACCUAUUGCAAGAUAGCCACUCUUAUUCACACCACGGGCAGCAAUAGUUAUUGAAUCUUCUGAUAACGUCCAAAAGAAAGUAACUUGAUCAUCUAAAAGCACACUAGUGUUAUACAUAUCAGACAGGGCACCAUCAAGAACCAUAUUAUUAAUACCAGCUAAGAUCGUGAACGUUUUCUACUCUAUCUUUCUCCUAAAUGCUUCAUUCCAGUGAAAAGUGCUGCAAUUCGUACGGCAAUGGCACCUCUACCGAUAAUUACAUGGAAAUACUCCCAAAUUAAUCUCUUUGUGGAAGCGUCCUCCUCAUUAGCAGGUUUCUCCGGUCUGAGAUAUGCAUUCAUUGGUUGCACAAAGGCAAAAACUAUGGCAGCAAUACCAAGCUUAACAUGUAAGGAGCUGACAUAGAAACCCCGAAGUUCGGCAACUGCAAAAAGAACACCAAGUAGGAUAAUUGCUAAUCCUGAAUAUUGUAGGUACAUACCAUCCAUCACCCUUUACAUGUUUUAGGUAUCUAGCAGCCAAUAUUCCACCAGGAAUCAAAAUACCCCAGGAGAGGAACAGCAUAAACCCAUGUACAGCUUUGACAGGUUGUAAACCUUGCUCAGCCUCGGAAGAACCACGGAUAAGCAGCACUUGCACAGCCCUUUGACUCGUGACAGUAUGCAUGUUUUUCUCACUGAGAUGUUCAUCAGUCCAUUUUGAACCCAUUGCCCGUAUGACUUUAAGAGGAGUUGUAGGAUCAAAAAUGUUCUUGCACUCUGGCUUAUCAUUUUGAUUACAUGAUGGUUUUAAUGGACGUGUGAAUUCCAAAGUAAUGAUGCCAUCUUCUGACCUGCACCUGACAUGUGUUAGAUUCUCAUUUGUUAGAUGGAUGUUCAAGGGAUGCUUUCCAUCAAUCCAAUAUGUAUUUAAAUGCCCUUUUCCAGUAUCGCCAAUCCAGCCCACAUAUGCAUAGCUAUUCACCAUCCCAUUACCGAAACCUAUUGCAAGAUAGCCACUCUUAUUCACACCACGGGCAGCAAUAGUUAUUGAAUCUUCUGAUAACGUCCAAAAGAAAGUAACUUGAUCAUCUAAAAGCACACUAGUGUUAUACAUAUCAGACAGGGCACCAUCAAGAACCAUAUUAUUAAUACCCAGCUAAGAUCGUGAACGUUUUCUACUCUAUCUUUCUCCUAAAUGCUUCAUUCCAGUGAAAAGUGCUGCAAUUCGUACGGCAAUGGCACCUCUGCCGAUAAUUACAUGGAAAUACUCCCAAAUUAAUCUCUUUGUGGAAGCGUCCUCCUCAUUAGCAGGUUUCUCCGGUCUGAGAUAUGCAUUCAUUGGUUGCACAAAGGCAAAAACUAUGGCAGCAAUACCAAGCUUAACAUGUAAGGAGCUGACAUAGAAACCCCGAAGUUCGGCAACUGCAAAAAGAACACCAAGUAGGAUAAUUGCUAAUCCUGAAUAUUGUAGGUACAUACCAUCCAUCACCCUUUACAUGUUUUAGGUAUCUAGCAGCCAAUAUUCCACCAGGAAUCAAAAUACCCCAGGAGAGGAACAGCAUAAACCCAUGUACAGCUUUGACAGGUUGUAAACCUUGCUCAGCCUCGGAAGAACCACGGUUAAGCAGCACUUGCACAGCCCUUUGACUCGUGACAGUAUGCAUGUUUUUCUCACUGAGAUGUUCAUCAGUCCAUUUUGAACCCAUUGCCCGUAUGACUUUAAGAGGAGUUGUAGGAUCAAAAAUGUUCUUGCACUCUGGCUUAUCAUUUUGAUUGCAUGAUGGUUUUAAUGGACGUGUGAAUUCCAAAGUAAUGAUGCCAUCUUCUGACCUGCACCUGACAUGUGUUAGAUUCUCAUUUGUUAGAUGGAUGUUCAAGGGAUGCUUUCCAUCAAUCCAAUAUGUAUUUAAAUGCCCUUUUCCAGUAUCGCCAAUCCAGCCCACAUAUGCAUAGCUAUUCACCAUCCCAUUACCGAAACCUAUUGCAAGAUAGCCACUCUUAUUCACACCACGGGCAGCAAUAGUUAUUGAAUCUUCUGAUAACGUCCAAAAGAAAGUAACUUGAUCAUCUAAAAGCACACUAGUGUUAUACAUAUCAGACAGGGCACCAUCAAGAACCAUAUUAUUAAUACCCAGCUAAGAUCGUGAACGUUUUCUACUCUAUCUUUCUCCUAAAUGCUUCAUUCCAGUGAAAAGUGCUGCAAUUCGUACGGCAAUGGCACCUCUGCCGAUAAUUACAUGGAAAUACUCCCAAAUUAAUCUCUUUGUGGAAGCGUCCUCCUCAUUAGCAGGUUUCUCCGGUCUGAGAUAUGCAUUCAUUGGUUGCACAAAGGCAAAAACUAUGGCAGCAAUACCAAGCUUAACAUGUAAGGAGCUGACAUAGAAACCCCGAAGUUCGGCAACUGCAAAAAGAACACCAAGUAGGAUAAUUGCUAAUCCUGAAUAUUGUAGGUACAUACCAUCCAUCACCCUUUACAUGUUUUAGGUAUCUAGCAGCCAAUAUUCCACCAGGAAUCAAAAUACCCCAGGAGAGGAACAGCAUAAACCCAUGUACAGCUUUGACAGGUUGUAAACCUUGCUCAGCCUCGGAAGAACCACGGAUAAGCAGCACUUGCACAGCCCUUUGACUCGUGACAGUAUGCAUGUUUUUCUCACUGAGAUGUUCAUCAGUCCAUUUUGAACCCAUUGCCCGUAUGACUUUAAGAGGAGUUGUAGGAUCAAAAAUGUUCUUGCACUCUGGCUUAUCAUUUUGAUUGCAUGAUGGUUUUAAUGGACGUGUGAAUUCCAAAGUAAUGAUGCCAUCUUCUGACCUGCACCUGACAUGUGUUAGAUUCUCAUUUGUUAGAUGGAUGUUCAAGGGAUGCUUUCCAUCAAUCCAAUAUGUAUUUAAAUGCCCUUUUCCAGUAUCGCCAAUCCAGCCCACAUAUGCAUAGCUAUUCACCAUCCCAUUACCGAAACCUAUUGCAAGAUAGCCACUCUUAUUCACACCACGGGCAGCAAUAGUUAUUGAAUCUUCUGAUAACGUCCAAAAGAAAGUAACUUGAUCAUCUAAAAGCACACUAGUGUUAUACAUAUCAGACAGGGCACCAUCAAGAACCAUAUUAUUAAUACCCAGCUAAGAUCGUGAACGUUUUCUACUCUAUCUUUCUCCUAAAUGCUUCAUUCCAGUGAAAAGUGCUGCAAUUCGUACGGCAAUGGCACCUCUGCCGAUAAUUACAUGGAAAUACUCCCAAAUUAAUCUCUUUGUGGAAGCGUCCUCCUCAUUAGCAGGUUUCUCCGGUCUGAGAUAUGCAUUCAUUGGUUGCACAAAGGCAAAAACUAUGGCAGCAAUACCAAGCUUAACAUGUAAGGAGCUGACAUAGAAACCCCGAAGUUCGGCAACUGCAAAAAGAACACCAAGUAGGAUAAUUGCUAAUCCUGAAUAUUGUAGGUACAUACCAUCCAUCACCCUUUACAUGUUUUAGGUAUCUAGCAGCCAAUAUUCCACCAGGAAUCAAAAUACCCCAGGAGAGGAACAGCAUAAACCCAUGUACAGCUUUGACAGGUUGUAAACCUUGCUCAGCCUCGGAAGAACCACGGAUAAGCAGCACUUGCACAGCCUUUUGACUCGUGACAGUAUGCAUGUUUUUCUCACUGAGAUGUUCAUCAGUCCAUUUUGAACCCAUUGCCCGUAUGACUUUAAGAGGAGUUGUAGGAUCAAAAAUGUUCUUGCACCCUGGCUUAUCAUUUUGAUUGCAUGAUGGUUUUAAUGGACGUGUGAAUUCCAAAGUAAUGAUGCCAUCUUCUGACCUGCACCUGACAUGUGUUAGAUUCUCAUUUGUUAGAUGGAUGUUCAAGGGAUGCUUUCCAUCAAUCCAAUAUGUAUUUAAAUGCCCUUUUCCAGUAUCGCCAAUCCAGCCCACAUAUGCAUAGCUAUUCACCAUCCCAUUACCGAAACCUAUUGCAAGAUAGCCACUCUUAUUCACACCACGGGCAGCAAUAGUUAUUGAAUCUUCUGAUAACGUCCAAAAGAAAGUAACUUGAUCAUCUAAAAGCACACUAGUGUUAUACAUAUCAGACAGGGCACCAUCAAAAACUUGAAGUUUCCAUCCCAUCUUCUCCUGGUACAAGGACUGAUAAUACACUUGAUCGGGGGUAUUCCUAUCGGGAACCCAAAUCAAUUCGUGAGGAUUUGCUACAACUCCUUCCGCUCCUGGCCCUCCAGGAUAAAUAGUCUCAGUUGCAUUCCUUAAUGUAGCAUUCCCACCUGAAGAAUCUGAAGUAAUAUACAAUGCAACAUCAUGCCCUGCCUGCACCAAAAACUUAACUGGAACCCCCCUUUCCACUCUCAACACGGUGUUUACUUAUUAUUAAUAUACAAAACCUUAGACGGACUUGGCGGAUUUGGAUAAUGCAACACCUCCCCUGUUGUAGCAACAAGAGGGACUUCUGUAUCAGCAACAAUCAACUCUUGAUCCUCAUUAUCAUCAGCAUCCAAUGGCCCAAAACAAUCAUCUACCUUCUCUGAAACAUUAAGCACCAAAUGUCCUUAUGCAACCUUCUCUGGACCCCCAUGAAAUUGGGGCAAAAAAUGAGACCGAUUUUCAUUUGGUGGUUUCAUCAACCCUAAUGCCCAAAUAACCCUCAUAUCCUCAUUAGGAUACACAGGCAAAUCAUACUUCUUAUCUGUCGAAUUCAAUGGUUUCCUAAACAUAAUUAAAGAAACCCCAUCUCUCCUAUGUCCAUAAACCAACCUAGUAUUAUUCACCAUCAUGCCAUUUUUCGAGUUCUCAUAAACUACAUCAGGGCAAACACCUAUAGCUGUCCGGUCUUUAGAACUCAACUUACAUUCAGUAUAAGCCGUAAUGUAAAAAUCAUCAACAAAAGGCCUACCUUCCUCAGUAAAACUUGCCACCGUAACAUCAGCUUCGGACAUCAGCUCCUUCGUCCUAUUCGGAUUCGCCCACCCAAAUGCCAUGUAAUAGGUCGUCGGCGCCGCCGCGUCUAACCCGAUCUCAAUCCAAUUUUCCUCCACAUUCAAGUUCCACCGGACCCUAUAAUUAUCCGACAAGUUCUUGCAGUUAUCAAACACUGUAUGCACCGAGUCCGAAACUGAAUCCAACCCGUUUCGAGGGAGGGUGACAUGGCCGAAGUCCGAGGUGCUGGCGAUCUCCCAGAUUGAAAGAACGUUGAUCUGGUCCCAGGUUAUGUCGGGGAGCAAUUGGACUGAAAACGAUGCAUUUUUGUAAGCUGUUUGAUUGAGGCGUUGACCGGAGAUGGGGAACCCACUGGUGAGGUCAGAGAAGUUGAGGGAGACGGCGCCCCAGAAAACGACGUCGGAUGAGCCAGAUAACAUGUCGAAUCCGGUGACCUGGAAAGAGCCGGAUAAACGUCCCAGCUGUUUGAUUUUGUUGGUUGUGACAAUUAUUUAGUAUAACAACUACACUUGCAAUAAUUACGAUCUUCAUCCUGCUAAAUAUACCGGAGAAAAUCAAUUUUCCAGUUGCUUCGGAUCUUUAAAAAAAAAAAUUGAACAUGAAAUGAAAGCAACUCUAAAUGCAAGACUUAAGUGAACUUUCUUUAUCAAACAAAGAAUUAACACUUCCAUCUCCAUCAUUUUCAUUAUUUUUUACUCAGAAUCAAUGAAAAGAAAAGAAAAAAAAAGGUUAAGGUGAGGAUAGUAAUUACAUUAUUAAUGUUCAUUUUUUUAAUAAUUCAAAAAAUUAUAUUGUAUAUAAUGUAUAUUAUUUUUUCAAUUAAUAUAAAAAAUAAUAGUUCAAAAAAAUGCACUACUAAUAUAAAACAUAUAUAACGAAUUAACUGAUAACCAAAAUUUAAAAAAAUCACUAACCAACCUCCAACUGAACUAAAUUCGACAACCAACCAAAUAACCAAAUUAGAUCUAUUCAAUUGAUUGGUUAGAUUUUAACCGAACCAUGAAUACACCUAUAUUCGGGGCUCUUUCAUUGCAUUUUGCUAUCAUUUUGUUUGUCCAAUUAUAAAAAGUUCGAAUAAAUAUAAAAAAAUUUGAUUUAUUAAAAUGGGUAAAUAUUCCAAGAAGUAUUUUACAUAUUUAAAAAUUUAUAUAUUUAUAUUAAUGGUUGAAAAUGUGAUAACUUCAGACGGAAGAUUGAAACCGUUAACACAGUCAAAGAGCCUAGGAGAGAAUCCAUAGAACAAUCCUACAUGUUGACUUUGCCGAUAUUUAUCAUAAACAGUUGAACAGUUCCCAUCAAAAGUCAAAAGUAUAAACUAAUCAAUGAAAAAGAAGAAGCUGUUCUUCUAACUUGUUACUUUGGAUAAACCAAGUGCUUCACCUUUUGAAUUCCAUCUUCUAGAUUUUGAUUUCUAGAUAACAUACACAGAUAAAUCACAAGAAUGUAUAAGCAACAUAAAUAUAUUUAAAACGAAAAAAUCUCGGGUUUGAUUAUGGGGUGCCUAACUGUUUACCAGUCGAACUGCUAUUGUAUGCUUGAUCGACCAAAGGACGGAAAACUCGAUUAAAAUGGCUUGAAUGAAUGAUCUGAUAUGGUGGCUAGAUUACUGAGAGAUUUGCAAGCAGUCAACAAAGGAAAUGGGUCAUUUAUUGAAUGUAAAUUACAUACCUACAUCGGUCAUCGGUAUUCUGCUUCGAAAAUUCAUCUUUAGACAUGUGCUUCUCUGCAAAGAACACCUUUCAUGUCACCAGAAAAAGCUAUGCUCGUCUUUCUUGCAAUCAUAUCGAUAAUCUGUAACAUUAUGAGUCGAACAAAUAAAGGGAAACAGCCAAAAUGAUGAUACUGACAUAGUUACAGCUGAAUUUACCUAUGUCACUCCGACUCUUGACGUUCAUUUUCCCUUGAGUAUUUAUCCAGCACAUAUUCAGACAUGGAUAUGGAGAUAUAAUCCUACAAAUAUCGGGAAAAUUACAAAAGUUAAACAUAUUCAUAUCUUACUUCAGAGUCCGAGUAAGAGGAAUUUACAAUAAGUACCUGUAGGAACAUUUUAGGAGUCUUGGCAUGUGGGUUGACUUAACUUUAUAACCACCUUCAACAAUUGGUUGAUUGAAUCUUUUACCUCAUCCGGAACGGUGAGUUUUGCAGGCACUAAAUCUAAAACAUACAAAGUGAUAACUUUCAUUACAUCAACCAGAAGCAAACUGUUGGUACCGAUUCCCCAUACACUCUUAUUAGCAUACUCGCAUGAAUCCUUUAACAUGCAUCGACUGCAUACCUGAAGAGAUCACCCAUCAGUAAAACAAACAACAUAGGAAGAUUUGUACUCAGUAUAGUAAACAUUGGAAUAAUGGCUUACAGUGUUUUCUUGAAUUUUAAAGAACUUGCGCAAUCUCUUAGCAGCGAAGACAUUAUUUUUAUCAAGGGAAGCGCAACCAAAGAGCACCACUUUUUUCAAGUGACUUCCCGGCAACCAUCUGCAAAUACCAAUAUCGAAGGUUACUUUAUUUACAAGAAGCAAAAGGACAGUCAUUGAAGUAAUGAUUCCCCAAAGCGAUGGCAAGGAGAUGAGCUAUAUAUAAAAGCAAGAUAUAUUAAUAGAUCAACUGCAUCGGUGUACAUAUGGUUGACCAUAUCAUAUCAAGUCAAAAAUUAUGCUACAAUCAUUGAUUGAUAAAAUCUGUCACACCUGAUUUUUUGUCAAACACAUAGAAACCAACUUUGCACAAUUUUAGUAGAACAUCAUAUAGCUCUGCCAAACAUAUGCUGCUAUUAUGUACUUAAUUACUAACAUUGAUUUUAAGUGAAGGUUCAGUGCAAAUCUGCCAGCUUUGCAAUGCUUGAAUCUAAGACCGCAUUCUUACAGCAUGCUAUGGCUAAAUCUCUUGAUAAUUUGACUGAAGAAUGCAGAGAAUUUUUAUAAUACCUCUAAAGUUUAUUUGUAUAAGGGGAGGGUUUAGGGUUGUCCAAGGAUUGAACCCAAGAUUGGUAUCAAUUAAAUACUUGAUAUCAAGUCUUUUGCCACUCAACCUAUGGUUCGGUCCAGAUGAAUAUCUCUAAUAUAACUACAUGAAAAAGAGAUGCUUGACUAUACACUUAUGUCUAUGAAUACCAGUAGUUUUGCACAUAUGUAUGCAUCUAUGCACUUAAAUAUGAUUAUCCCUCUUUCCCUAGUUUCUGAAUUUCUUUUUUAAGUUUUCCUAUAUACCCUCUUACACCAUAACUAUACAAUAUGCAUAAGCUCAAUUCUUUUUAUAUGUUUUUCUAUAUAUAUAUAUAUAUCCUAUAUCCUAGCUCGAACUCUAGUACUUAAGGAAAAAUGAACAGUAACAAUGAAGUAAGAAACUAAUAUUAUCAAUCCACCUAGUUAUUAUAAAUUCAUUUGAAAAAUGCAAAAUAACCAUAAUCUCAAACUCCACUUUCCCCUACAAUGUUAAGAACAACCAAAUAAAACAUCAAGUACAUCAAUCAGCCAACAUGAAUAAAAAAACAUUAACAAUUGUCAAACAAUGUCAAAUCCAAAUUAAAAAAGAAAAAAAGGAGAAAACAAAAGUUCUUACUUUGCAAUAUCUUGAUGAUCUUUACCAAAAUUGUAAGCAGCAAACUUGAUAAAAUCCCUGCCAUAACUAUUCUCAAAGUAACCAAAAUCCAACUUGUUGUCUUCCACAAAACUAGCCUCCUUAAAAUACCCUUUUGUAUACAAAUGCCUGAUGAAAAUCUCAGCUAACUGUGAAAGACCCUUCAAAGCUCUUACCUUUUCCCUUUCUCUUCUAGCUUUCAUCUUCUUUUUCAUCUUUUCUUCUUUGUUUUCAUCCCCAAUAAACUCAACCAAACACUUGAAUUUCUUGGGUCUUUUCCCCUCUAAUUUCUCUGUUUCUUUCUUUUUCCCUUUUGGGUUUUCUUUGAAAUUCCUAAAUUCUUUCACCGACUCAUUGAUUUCGCCUUUUCUCCGGGUUUCAGUUCCUGCGGGUUUUACUGUUAAAACAGUGUCUCGAAACAACAGAGAAAGUGGGGUCUUGGUUGGUAGCUGGGAAGAGGAAUUAAGGGUUCUUCUGAUUAUGAAGGAUGGUGAAGGACAAAGGGUUUUGUAAAGAGGAUUGUGGAUUUUGAGGAGAACUUUGGUACGCGUAGACAGAAUGAAAGCUUUGAAGAGAUACAUUUUGCAGCGGAAGGGUUUAAGAUUAAAAGGAGGGUCUUUUCUGCAGAGGAGCUUAGGGAUCUUAAAUACACAUCCAUCUUUUUAUUACUUAAAAAAUUACUUAUUUAUUAAUAUUAAUCUAUUUUUGUAACUAAAUUUAAAUAAAAUUUUAUUAAAUAAAUAGCAAUUUAAGCUAAAAUGUUCAAUAAAGCUAGGCGAUUUCAAGUGUUAUUAUUUGAAGGUUUGAUUCUUCAAUGUGAUAAUUUUCAAAUUAAAAAAAUCUUUGGGGGUUAGGCGAUUUAUGCUUUAAUUCCCAUUAAAUACCAAUAAAUUUUGCUUAAUUGAAAGCUUAUUUCAUUACUAUGAGAAAACCAAAAACAUUGGUAAGAAGUAUUGAAUCAAUAAAUUAAAAAAAAAUUAAUACAAUACUUUUUACUGGAUUUUUUUAAUUAAAAAAAGUCCCUAACUUUUGUAUUUUCUUCAUUGGCAAGGGGCUUAUCCAUUGAGAUGGCAAAGCUAGCAACCUUUUGCCCAACAAAAAAGAGGAAAUGAAGCACUCGGAUUCUGGUGUUUCAGCUUGCAUGUUUGAUUCCGGCGAUCGACAAUGGUGUCAAAAUACAAGUACAGGGAGUCCUUGUUGGAUGGCAACCAAAGUUUUGGAGCCCGGAACUGGAUACAACUUCAAGGCUGAUAUAUGGUUGUUUGGGAUGUUUAGUUGGAGUUGGCUCAUGGUCGUCCGCCCUUGUCGAUAUAUCUGCCAACAAAGGCUCAUGACUGAAUUAUGUUUGACAUAUUUGAAGUUCUCGAAGCCGUUUAAAGACAUGGUUGCAAUGUGGUUGGUGAAAGAUCAAACCAAGGGGCCAACUGUAGAUAAAUUGUUGAAGCACUUGUUUCUCAAGCAUGCAAAGCCUACUCAGCUUGCUUUAAAGAAGCUAUUAGACUUCCAGGUGAGUGUCUACUUUAACAUAAGCUUAUUUUGCCACCAAAAGCAAAAUUAUCACAAAGAAAGUGAAACAAAAAGGGGAAAAAAACUGACUGUAUAUUUCCGUGUAUUAAGAGUUCAAGAUAACAGAAAAUUAAGGUCUAUUUCAAUCAAGAGAAAUAAGGUACGAUAAAUUGAUCAAGAGUAUCAAAAAGAAUUAUCAAGAGUAAAGGUGUAUCAAGUAUACAAAAUACAUGUUGGUAGAAAAAAGAAUUAUCAAGAGUAAAGCUCUACUUACAGUGGGGAAAGCCGUCCGAGAAAAAAGCAGCUCCAUGUUAGUAAGAAGCUUUCAAAACUGGUGAAGAAUGGAGCUUUUUUAUAUUCAAAAAGAAAAAAUAUAUUAUAUGAAUAAAUCUAUCUGUUCAAUGGCUCUAACUGUACUUCAAUUACUCCAGAACUUUGUGAACCUUUUCGAGCAGAAGCGUCGUUCAGGCUUAAAAGGUCAAUGGAAUCCUCUUCUUUGACGUUGCCGAGAACCCAGUUGUUCCUUCCUUGUAAUCUAUCUCUCUGUUGUCUUUCACGAUACUCCAGAUAAAUUACAGUCAAUGCAGCAAUCAAGAACCAUAUUAUUAAUACCCAGCUAAGAUCGUGGACGUUUUCUACUCUAUAUCUUUCUCCUAAAUGCUUCAUUCCAGUGAAAAGUGCUGCAAUUCCUAUGGCAAUGGCACCUCUGCCGAUAAUUAAAUUAAUCUCUUUGUGGAAGCAUCCUCCCCAUUAGCAGGUUUCUCCGGUCUGAGAUAUGCAUUCAUUGGUUGCACAGAGGCAAAAACUAUGGCAGCAAUACCAAGCUUAACAUGUAACGAGCUAACAUAGAAACCCCGAAGUUCGGCAACUGCAAAAAGAACACCAAGUAGGAUAAUUGCUAAUCCUGAAUAUUGUAGGUAAAUAUGAAUUUGGUACCAUCCAUCACCCUUUACAUGUUUUAGGUAUCUAGCAGCCAAUAUUCCACCAGGAAUCAAAAUACCCCAGGAGAGGAACAUCAUAAACCCAUGUACAGCUAAGACAGGUUGUAAACCUUGCUCAGCCUCAGAAGAACCACGGAUAAGCAGCACUUGCACAGGCCUUUGACUCGUGACCGUAUGCAUGUUUUUCUCACUGAGAUGAUCAUCAGUCCACUUUGAACCUAUUGCCCAUAUGACUUUAAGAGGAGUUGUAGGAUCAACAAUGUUCUUGCACUCUGGCUUAUCAUUUUGAUUGCAUGAUGGUUUUAAUGGACGUGUGAAUUCCAAAGUAAUGAUGCCAUCUUCUGACCUGCACCUGACAUGUGUCAGAUUCUCAUUUGUUGGAUGGAUGUUCAAGGGACGCUUUCCAUCAAUCCAAUAUGUAUUUAAAUGCCCUUUUCCAGUAUCGCCAAUCCAGCCCACAUAUGCAUAGCUAUUCACCAUCCCAUUACCGAAACCUAUUGCAAGAUAGCCACUCUUCUUCACGCCACGGGCAGCAAUAGUUAUUGAAUCUUCUGAUAACGUCCAAAAGAAAGUGACUUGUUGAUCAUCUAAAAGCACACUAUUGUUAUACAUAUCGGACAGGGCACCAUCAACAACUUGAACUUUCCAUCCCAUCUUCUCCUGGUACAAGGACUGAUAAUACACUUGAUCGGGGGUAUUCCUAUCGGGAACCCAAAUCAAUUCGUGAGGAUUUGCUACAACUCCUUCCGCUUCUGGCCCUCCAGAAUAAAUAGUCUCAGUUGCAUUCCUUAAUGUAGCAUUCCCACCAAGAGAAUCUGAAGUAAUAUACAAUGCAACAUCAUGCCCUGCCUGCACCAAAAACUUAACUGGCACCCCUCUUUCCACUCUCAACACCGGUGCUUCCUUAUUAUUAAUAUACAAAACCUUAGACGGACUUGGCGGAUUUGGAUAAUGCAACACCUCCCCUGUUGUAACAACAAGGGGGACUUCUGUAUCAGCAAUAAUCAACUCUUGAUCCUCAUUAUCAUCAGCAUCCAAUGGCCCAAAACAAUCAUCUACCUUCUCUGAAACAUUAAGAACCAAGUGUCCAUAUGCAACCUUCUCUGGACCCCCAUGAAAUUGGGGCAAAAAAUGAGACCGAUUUUCAUUUGGUGGUUUCAUCAACCCUAAUGCCCAAAUAACCCUCAUAUCCUCAUUAGGAUACACAGGCAAAUCAUACUUCUUAUCUGUCGAAUUCAAUGGUUUCCUAAACAUAAUUAAAGAAACCCCAUCUCUCCUAUGUCCAUAAACCAACCUAGUAUUAUUCACCAUCAUGCCAUUUUUCGAGUUCUCAUAAACUACAUCAGGGCAAACACCUAUAGCUGUCCGGUCUUUAGAACUCAACUUACAUUCAGUAUAAGCCGUAAUGUAAAAAUCAUCAACAAAAGGCCUACCUUCCUCAGUAAAACUUGCCACCGUAACAUCAGCUUCGGACAUCAGCUCCUUCGUCCUAUUCGGAUUCGCCCACCCAAAUGCCAUGUAAUAGGUCGUCGGCGCCGCCGCUUCUAACCCGAUCUCGAUCCAAUUUUCCUCCACAUUCAAGUUCCACCGGACCCUAUAAUUAUCCGACAAGUUCUUGCAGUUAUCAAACACUGUAUGCACCGAGUCCGAAACCGAAUCCGACCCGUUUCGAGGGAGGGUGACAUGGCCGAAGUCCGAGGUGCUGGCGAUGUCCCAGAUUGAAAGAACGUUGAUCUGGUCCCAGGUUAUGUCGGGGAGCAAUUGGACUGAAAACGAUGCGUUUUUUGUAAGCUGUUUGAUUGAGGCGUUGACCGGAGAUGGGGAACCCGCUGGUGAGGUCAGAGAAGUUGAGGGAGACGGUGCCCCAGAAAACGACGUCGGACGAGCAGGAUAACAUGUCGAAUCCGGUGACCUGGAAAGAGCAACCAUCGAGGAUUUUGAGAUGGCCACGGAGUUGGUGUCGGACCAUUGUGAAGUUCGAUUCGAACCCGACUAGGGAGCUGGUGUUGGAGCAUUUUUGACCCGAAUCCGCUUUGGAAGAGGCGAUGGAAUUGAUUAGGAAGAGCGAGAGUAGAAGGAAAAUUUUGGAAUUGUACAUUCGAAUCCGGUCGCGGGUGAUUCGAGAAUCCGAAUUCGGUGAUGAUGGAAAAUGAACGUUUUAAAGAGAAGGAAGGAGCCAAUGAGCGGCUGGUGGUGGUGAGUGGUGACUCGGUACAGCCGGAGCGAGUCGUCAACUUGUCUCGAUAUUGUUUUAUAAAUUUUUUUCCUGUUUUUCUGAAGAGAGGAAACCAGAAUCCCAACUAUCUUCUUAACUAUCAGUUUUUUAAUUUUAAUUUAGUUUAAAUUUUUUAAUUUAGUAGUCCAACUAAUGGAGAUUUUUUUUUGCCAAUUUCCGUAAUGAGAGGACAUGAUAAUUAAAAAUUAAUAUAAUAAUAAAUUUAAUUCUUAAUUUUUACAUUUUGUAUCAAUUUAAUCAUUAUUUUAAAAAAUUAAUUUUUAAAAUUUAUAAAUAAUCUCAAUUUGAUUAUCAAAAUUUACCUUUUCUUUCCACUUCCUCUGCUACCACUAUAUCAUUGCCUCUAGUUCCGCCUUCUCCUCCAUCUUUCUCCAAAAAAAAGAAUUUUUUUUUAAUCAUGUUCAAAUUUAAGGUAUUAUAAUUUAUUUUGUGUUAAGUUAGAUGAAGCCUAAGCAAUUUAAAUAUAUGUGCUACUAUUUAACAAUAAAUUAGGUUGAAAUAGAAAGAGGAAAGGUAAGUUUUUUUUGGGAGAAAGGUGGAGGUGGAGGUAAUGAUGGUAAUGGCCCGUGGUGAAGUAGAAGAGAAAAGUAAAUUUUGAGGAUCAAAUUGAGACUAUUUAUAAAAUUUAAGAGUUAAUUAUUUUAAAAAUUUGACUAAAUCAAUUUAAGAUAUAAAAUUUAAGAGCUAGAUUUAUAAUUAUACUCAUUUUUUAACUACCACAUUACUCUCCAUAGAGAUUUAAAGAAAUGGACAAAAAAAAAAUCUCAAUUAGUUGAAUGAUCAAAUUAAAAAAAUUCAUAAUUAGGUAACUAAAAAAGAAAAAGGGGAGAUAGUUGGGUGACUUGUGGUGUAGUUUACCCUAAUAAUAAAAUAUAAUAGGGUAAACUAUAGAAUUAGUCAUCCCACUAUUAGUGUGUUUCUGUUUUAGUCACCUAACUAUGAAAAUUUUCAAUUUUAUCACUAUCGUUUUAGAUCAUUUCUAUUUUGGUCACUCAUGUUUUAGAUCGUUUUUAUUUUAUUCACUCUUCAGUAAAUGGUUAACCAAAGUUAUGAUGUGACCUUUUUCAACUAGUAUAAAUAAUACAUUUAGUCUUUAAUACUUACACAUUUUAUCAAUUUGAUCCUCGAACACAUAUAAUUAAAUAUAAAGUAUAUAUUAUAAAAACGUACAAAAUAUAGUUAUUUAUAUAUAUUUAUCUAAAUAAUAUUUUAUGUUCUUAUAUUUAAUUAUAAUUAUAAGGUUCAAAUAUGCAUUUAGCCCCUCAAACUUGACACCUUCUCCCAUGUUGGUACUUAUGAUUUUUUGUCCCAAGUUGGUACCUAAAAAUUUAUUCCGUCAAGGGCUUUGAUACUUUUUUUUGUUACAAUACUAAAUAUAGGAAACAUGACACUCUUAGGAUGCCAUAAUCUAUUUUUUAUAAAAAAAUAAAAAAUUUAAAAGAAACUAUAUGAAAUUUAUAUAUAUUAUUAAAAUAUAAAAGAAAUUAUAAAUUAUAAAAAUAUAUGUAACUAAAAAAAUUAAAAAUAUUACAAAAAAAAUCUAAAAUUCAAGUUGGAAAAAUCGAAAACCUAGAAAAUUUACACAUUUUUCUAAAUAUAUUGCAAACAAAUUAGAUGAAGAUAAAUUAUAUAAUAAAUUUUAUACAUAGAGAUAGGUGUAAAUUAUUACACGAUUUUUCAAGUUAACAAGAAUGCAAAAGAUGAUGAUUUGAAAAUGGCUUACAAGAAGCUUUUUCGUUUUCCUUUUUUUUUUAAUUAUUUGCUAGGUGAUGGGAAAAAUUGAGUUCCUUUGUUGAAAAUGCUAUAAAAACCACAAAUUUACUAAGUUAUGGGGGUUUUGAGUUUUUGGGUUUAUCAAAAUCACACACACAUAUAAAUUUAUCAGCAUUUAGUUAUAUGUGUUUAAAUAUAAUCAUUUUUUAUAUUUAAUUAUAUGUGUUUGAGAAUAAAGUUGAUAGAAUUUGUAAAUAUGGAGGGUGAAAUUUAUUGAAUUAUUUAGAAUAAGAAUCAAAUUGAUAGAAUGUGUAAGUAUUAAGAAAUAAACAUGUUAUUAUUCUAGUUGGAAAAGGCAACAUCAUCACUUCCGUUAACUAUGUAACGGAGAGUGACCAAAAUAGAAACAAUCUAAAGUGUGAGUGACCAAAAUAGAAAUAAUAUAAAAUGUAAGUGACUAAAUAAAAAAAAUUCAUAGUUGGGUGACUAAUUCUAUAGUUUACCCUAGAUGGUAGAAGCAAUUAGGAUUAAUUCCACCAAACAUCUCAAACUAUUACUCAUAUUUUAAAUUGAAUCCUAAACUUGUACACAUUCUAAUAUUAAAUUACUCAAAUAGAAUGUGAUAACGUGUUAUGCUAUUAUUCAUCGAUAGUGCAUAGAAUUUAUGCACUAACAAUGCAUCAAAUAUUCUCAUUAAAAGAAAAUGUAUAAAAUAAGUUUUAUACCAUCUAUAAUUUGUAAAAAAAAAUUAUCCAAUAAAAAAUAUAAAAAUACAUAUCUAUAAUUUCACAAAAAGAGAAUUACAUUAAUCAACCUCACAAAAUAUACAUCUCACAAAUCUGAUUGAGAUUAAAAACAAAGAAUGCAUGUAUUGUGCAAUUAAAACCAUGAUCCAUAUUCAACUCUAAAGUACUGAACAUAUAAUUUUGCAUUAUUUUACCUCCCUUGAUUCUUCACAAACUCUUUGGAAUAAGUUAACCAUCUAUUCCUUAUUUCAAUUUUAUUAAAAAGAUAGGUUCCCAUAAAGACAGUCUUUACAAACCAGUGCACCUAUUAUAAACACAUCAGGGAACAUUGCCAUGAGAGAGGACCUAAGAAAACAUAAUACAAACUACAUAACAUACAAUCAAGCACCCACACAAAAUGUUUAUUAAACACCUACAGAAAAAGGCCUGCAUACCACCAAGCAAUGAAGUUUUCUGUUCCGUUUGCAACUUCUUGAUCUCGUCGAAGUGUUGGAUUCUCUACCUUUUUGCAAAUCUUUGUCGGACUCGCUCCACGAUCCUAAUCAACCACCAUGGUUUUCCAGUCGUGAAUACAAUGUAUGCCAUGCUCAUUCCCAGCACCAACCCACAUCCAUACCCCAUCAAUAUUGAAAAUUUCCAAUUCAAUUCAUCACCAUCAUCAUCUCUAUCAAAUUUGGCUGGAGUUUCCUCAUCAGUACCACAGUUUUUUGAUAAUGGCAAACCACAUAAAUCCAAAUUUCCCAUGUAGGAAUCGUUAGUGAAAGUAUCAAAUUGUUUGCCUUGAGGAAUGGGUCCCUUGAGAUUAUUUUGAGAAAGGUUUAACACCUCUAAGAAUCCAAGACUUUUUAACUCUGUUGGAAUUCUUCCUUCCAGCUUAUUUGAUGAGAGAUCUAAUGAUUCAAGCUCUGGCAAAUUACCUAAAGAUGAUGGGAUAGGACCUACUAAACAGUUAUGGGAGAGGUUUAGGACAAUAAGUAAAUGAAGCUCACCAAGUAUUUUUGGAAUUUCUCCCCUGAAUUGGUUACUAGAAAGGUCAAUAACCGUCCAAAUGGAUAAUAGUAAUUCAAACUUUAUUUCCACUCCUUUUGCUGUAACAGAUAAACCAUAAGCAUAAUUCAACUCAAAUGGGUCACCUAUCAUGUAAUUUGGUUCAACUUUCUUUCCAUACUCAUCUCUAAUGGCAUGCAUAUGCUCAAAAAAAAGAGUAGGUAAGUAGCCACUGAAAUUAUUGUGAGAAAGAUCAAUGAUUUGCAAUUUAGUUAAAGAAACUGUAAUAUCAAAGCUCUCUAUUUGGCCGUAAAAUCUAUUCGACCUCAAGAUAAGAACUUGCAGCUGAUCCAAAUUUCCUAACCAACUUGGGAAAGUGUCAUUCAAAUUGUUGUUUCCAACAUCGAGAAGAUUUAAAGCUUUGCAAUUACCCAACGAUCGUGGUAGUGACCCUUCUAAUUCAUUGUUGUUGAUGUUUAAACUUCUCAACAUGCAACCUUUAGCAAAAUUUUCUGGUAUUUGACCAUGAAAAUUAUUAUUCCCUAGAAAAACUGCUGUGAGAGAAGAACUCAAGUUUCCGAUGCACUUUGGAAUUGUUCCCUCCAAAUUAUUCUCAUCUAAAGCCAUAGCCACAAGGGAAGUCAAAUUGCAUAUUGAAGAAGGGAUUUCUCCAAUUAAGUUAUUAGUUGAAACUCCAUACAAUUGCAAUAAAGGUGGUGGUGUUGGAAUUCGACCUUAGAGAUAAAAUUAAAAAUGAGAUAGAAUUAGGAGUUUGAAGAUUCUUUGGAAUAAAAAUUAUAAAAUAGCUAUAUUUAUGAUGUAUUACAUGCAUGAUUAAUUUACUACACUAUCACAACAACUUUUAAGUUGUAAUCUAUUGAAGGAAACUACUACCAUCUUCUAGAGAAAUUUUUAUUUCUCUUACUUAAAAGUAAAAUGGGAUUGCGUAAAUGUAUAAAAAAUAGAAGGAAAAAAAAUAUCAAACUAUACCUAAUAGUUUAUUAUAAAAGAGAUAACCAUUUAAUAUCUUACUUAUAUUUCAUUUUUUAGUGUUUAUUAUUAUUUUUUGUACUUUUAUGUAUAUUUUAUAAUUUAUUAUCGGGGUUCACGGUUGUUACUGUCAAGAAUAUCAUCUCUAAGACUUGAAUCUUGUUUUCCCCUUAAGAGAGUAAUAUAUUUUACCACUGCACUGAAUAUUUAUUGGUGUAGUAUUUAUUAUAACUACAAAUAAUUUUAAUUAUCUUUUUAUGAACCUCUAAGUUAGAGGUCAAAUAAAAAAGUAAAUUAAUUGAUGUAGUGUUUAAAUUUUUAUCAUUAUUUUCUAUAUUUGUUUAUUUUUUAUUUUUUUAAAUAUAUAUUUAAACUUUGCAAAAUGAAUGGAUAUAUUUGAACAUGAAACAUGAUACAAUAAUUUAGUGAGAAUGAAAUAAAAUAAUGGUGGAAAAAUGAUAUGAUGACAUUAAACGGAAAAUAAGCGAAUGAAUAAAUAAGUAAAUAAAGGAGAAUAAGAAGAUAAAGACCAAAAACAAUUGCUAUGCCAAUUGUUGAAACUAAUUUUUUUGAAAAAAAGUGGAUCUGACUUAUAUUUUGAAAAAAGAAAAGAAAAUGGAGUCGCCACCAAUCUUUUUAUUUGGGUGUGAUUGGAUCACCUCAUAAUUAAAUCAUUUUAAUAAAAAUUUAAAUUUACUAAAACGAUAAUUUUUGGUCUUAUAAAAUCCAAAAAAGGGUUCGGGAGUCGGUUACGCAUGAGGAAGGGUUAGCACCCUCAACACGCCCAAAAUUGAUACCUUAUUUUAAAAUAAGAUCAUUGUAUUAAAAAAACUUAUAUAAAUCAAAUUACACGUUAAGACCCUUCCAUUUCGGAGAGAGAAAAUGUCACACCCAAUGGGUUAGGGCAUGAUAUUUCACAUCCUCAAAAAUGAGCUUGUCAUUUAAAAAACUCAUGCAAUGAAAUUUAAAAUGAUAUUCAAUUGUUUAAGUCAGAUGAAGAAAUCGAAGCCCAAUACGUUAGGGCCCAAUUUCUCAAAAUUCCAAACAUUGAAUACUGCCUUUAUUAUUUUUUAGAAAAACCCUCAUCUCAAGAAAACAACAUGUCAUAUCCAAUGCGUUAGGACACAACGUAUCGAAUUCCCGAUAAUGAGCUUUUUAUUUAUGUGUUUUGAUGAAUGAAUAUUCUUGAUUAUUUGAAUUCAACGAGGAAAAUUGGAACCCAAUACAUUAGGGAUCAAUCCUCUCGAAGAUCCAAAUACCGAAUAUUGUGUUAUCUUGAAAGCUUUUGAAUAAAAUGAUUCCCAAAACUUAAACCAUAUUAAAAAUAAUUUUUGAGCAAAUAAAGAAUGAUGGAAAUGAUAAUAUGCAAUACGAAGUAAUAAUUCGUAAACCAAAAAAAGUACUCUAAUGGAUGACAAAUAAUCGAUAAGUACAAAUAAGUAAUACAAUACACAUAAGGGCAAUAAUCUCACAAUGCAUGUUGUUUUAAUGUCGAUAUUUAACAAUCAAGAAAAAUGAAACAAAAUAAUAUAUAUAGAACAAUUUGAAGUAACUAGUAUAAAACAAUUUAAAGUAAAUAAUAUGCAACAUAAAUAAAGACAUGCAAAGCAAAAAUAAAUAACAUAGAAGACGAUUUUAAAAUAAUAUAUAAAAAGUUGAAAACAAAUAAUACGUAAAAAGAAAAUUUCAAACAAAGGAUAUACAAAACAAUUUCUUUUAAAAAAAUGAUAUAUGAAAACAAUUCCAAAUAAAUAAUAUAAAAAAAUAAAAUGGAUAAUAGUUUAUAUGGUUUGAAAUGUUUAACAUGUGAAAAACUUAAAAUAAAUAAUAAAAUAAAUAAAUAAUACAUGAGGAAAAGUAUUGAAUAAAAAAAUUGCAAAAUAAAUCGAAAUCAACAGAUUUGGGACUAAUUUGGGAUGAAAAUGAAAUUUAAAGGCAUAAAUUACAAAUGAAAGGAAACGGGGGCCAACUAAAGUGCGCCGAAAAAGGGCGAGGACCAGAUGGGGAAUUAUUCCCUAUCUCAAAACGACACUGUUUAAGGUGUUUUUCCUUUUAAAAUGGUCUAAGGACCAAAUUGGGAGAAAAAUGAAAAUUUGUGGCUAAAUCAAAAAAUAAAAAAGAGAUAGGACCCAAUUGUAAUCAACCUUAAAAGCUGAAGGACUAGGGGCGCGAAUAGCCCCUUUGUCCAAAAACACUUGGAUCCUAAGCGGUUCGGGUCGGGUCAGUCCGAUCCAUGUCUAAACGACGUCGUUUUGGGGCUUUCUGAACCCCUCAUUUACAAACAAUUUAUCAUGGCUUUUAUAGCCAUUUUACAAGAUUUUUUUAAUUCAUUUAUUGUCACUUCUUGCAGGCAAAUGAUUGCUUAAUUUACUUCGUAACUUCUUACAUUUAGACAUAAUAAUGAGGUUUUAAUCUUUUAAGAACUUUUAUUUUAUUUACUUAAAAAUUGCAUAAAUUUAAUAAAAAAAAAGGAGAAUAAAAGAAAAAUGAAAUUAUACCUGUCAAUUUGUUAUAGCUAAGAUAAAGUGAUUGGAGAGAUGUCAAGUUUCCAAUAACAAGAGGAAUUUCACCUGAAAUGUAUAAUUAAAUCGGUCAAAAUUUGUAAAUAUUUUCCUACCAAGCCCUUAAUUUAUUUGUUGAGCAUAUUAGUGUCUGUUUGAUUUACCUAUUUUUAAAUAUGCAAGUUUUGUUUAGUUUUAUAGUACUUGUGACAACCCAAAAAUAUUUUAAUUAUAAUACUCGAAUUUAUAGUUGAAAUGAUGAUGACAAUUAGAAGGAAUAAAAUAGUUCACGCUUAAUAGUUUUGCUCAAAUAUAGGAUACAUCAUCGAAGCUGAACAAAUAUAUAUAUUUUUAGAAACUUUUAUUAGUUAGCAGUGAUUAGCUAAUGUCAAACAACUGAUACUAUUGCAUAUAAUAUGUUUCCCUAAACUGUAUACUAUUUAUCUCUCGCCACAAAUUAUCAAAAACACAUGUGCAUUUUAAGCCAAACAUUUAUAAUAAAGAUAAGAGCCGUAUUGACACAAUUUUUUGCUAAGGAAUCAGCAAACACACACCCAUAACUGCACAUAUAGACACACAUAUAUCUGCACAUACAGAAUACUAGAACCCAAAAAUGUCGCUAGAACCCAGAUAUAGUCUAGGUGAGAAGGGACUAAGGAGUUGAACAGUAAAGAAACUAGUAAGAACUCACAUGAUAAUGAGCUUGUUGUAACCAGAAUACAAAGAUUGGGGCAGAGUCAAGUUUCCAAUUUCUAUAGGCAUAAUUCCCUCCAAAGAGUUGUUAUGCAACGAUAAAUACUUCAACUCUUUACACUUGAAUAAGCUAUUUGAAAUUCUACUAAAAUUUGAUUAUGUGUGAAGCUUAAUUAUUGCAAUUUAGAAAUGUUAUCAAACAUCUAGAUAGUAGAUGACCUAUAAUGAGAUGAUUAGUUUUGAAACUAUUUUUUUAUUGGUGAAAAGAUAUAUAAGAUUUACACAUGUAAGGAGCCUGAAUAAGAAUUAUUAUGAAAAUAUAACUAAAUGAAGCUUGAAAAGAUAUAUAAGAUUUACAGUAUAGUGCCGCAUUCGGUACUUUUUGGAGUGUAGGGAUGGGUGGGUUGAUUAUAUCCCCACAUGAAGUAUAGGGUUGGACGAAGAUGGUGUGUAGAGGCUAGCUGGGUAGGAUUUGUAUACUGCAUAAUCCGUUACUGCACUGAUUGCUGAUAUUGUAAUAAGCCAAGGCCCAAAUGAAUGAUUACUUCUGUACUGAAAUAGGCUAAAGCCCAAACUGAUAUUGUCACUGAUACUGAAAAGGGCGUAGGCCCAAACUGAGUUUAUUAUGCUUACUGUCUGGUUAUUUUUGUAUAUUGUAUGCUUGUUUGCAUGGGGAAUUACGAGUUUUGAAAACUCACCCCUUUUGUUAAUUUGUACAGGUAAUCCCUACUCAUAGGCGGAUUGACGCGGCAGAGGACUCAGCGGUGGCCACACGACUCUUUUUUUUACUGUUUCGUAUUUAAUUACAUUCAUUUUUAAAGCUUUAUUGGGGUUUUUAUCUGUAAUAACGGCCGCUAUGAAUUUUUGCUUUAUGUUUGGAUUUAACACUACUUUAUGUUUUAUAUCUUCUAGAGGUAGAUAAAACACGAUUUUUAAAAGAAAUGCAUGUGUUUUAGCAAAAUACCCACAAUGACACAAGCUGUUUUAAAAAGCUUCCACAACGUAUAAUGUUUUGCAAACUAACGAUUGAUUAAAAAUCACUAUUUUAGGAUUAAUAAAGUUAACGAAGAGAUCUAAACAGAAAAUGUUUUAAGCAAAGUUACGGUGUUUUUCAACAUGAGCUUCGGUUUUCAAACACACUACCAUGUGACACCGCCAGAUUCAACCAUAAUGUCUAGGCCGAUUUGGGGUUUUACAUCUAUUAUGGUGUGUAGUAGAGUUGGGUAGGAUGUUUUCUAAUAAAUCUGCAUUCUAAUCGAUGGUAAUUCAAGAAAUACUACACUGGAUAUUAAAUCCAAUAGUAUCAAGAAUCCACAUUUCACUAGUUUAAUAUUCAAACCAUCAUAUUUGUUAUAUUGAAUUUAAGUAAUUAGUAAUUCAAGUUAUUGAUAUUUUUCUUAUACCAAUAUUCUUAUAUUUUUCUAAUUUCAAAGUAGUUAAAGGAUUAAAUGUGUAAUUAAUUGUUUUUAAGCCAAAAGUGUUAUAAUAAGAAGUUAAAAGAUUGUAAUUAAUUAGUAUUAUAUAGCGCGAUUGUAUUAUAAAUAGAAGAGACUGCAUAACAGUAACAACAAAAAAGAGAAUAAAGAUGAUAUUAUACCUGUUAAGUAAUUAGUAGAAAGAUCGAUGUCCGUGAGGGAAAUAAGGAAUUAGAUACAUUGGUCCCAUAAUAUGUCACUCAAAAUCUCAAAUUCAUCCAACAAAAAGAAAUCAUCACUUUAGUUAAUUAAAUCAAGAACAAAUAAAGUUAUGGAUGAACAAAUAUGGGAAGCAAAGAAAUGUGAUGGAUCAAAAGGGACGGAUAAGCUAAUUUCUGCCAUAAGGUAGAUGGUGAACUUAGGAUGUGGAGUUUCAAUAAAUACCUAAAAAUACCUAAACUUUUGGCAAUUCAAAUAGAUUAUACUAAUUUUUAAUUACUUAAAAAUAUUGCAUAAAUUUAAUAACAAAAAGGAGAAUAAAAGAAACAUGAAAUUAUACCUGUCAAUUUGUUAUUGCUAAGAGAAAGGUAUUGGAGAGAAGUCAAGUUUCCAAUAACAAGAGGAAUUUUACCUGAAACAUAUAAUUAAAUCAAUAAAUAUAUAAUUAUUUUUAUUAAUUAUUUUAAGAGUUUAAUAAGGCAAAUCUAAAAGGUAGAAGAAAUAGCUAAUUAGAAGUAGUGUGUGAUUCAAAAGGGUAUAAAGUAGGUCCAAAUUAAAAAUCAAAUUUUAAAAUAAUUUAAUGUAAAAUUUAACUCUUUUCUUAUCACCAAAUAAAUUUACUUUCAGAGAAAUUACAAGUUUUAAUAAAAUAGUUGAAAUAAGUGAUUGUUUAUGACUAGGUGAAAAUUAGAUGAAAAAAACAUAUAAUUAAUAAUUUAUAUAUCUAUUUCUCUCAUACUAUGGACUAUGGUCGAGCAAAAAUUAAUAAAAAAAUCAAACGGAUAGAAAUAGCUUAGUUACAAGAUUGAUGUUAAUCCAAUAAAUUUUUAAAAAAAAACACAUUGUUUCCAAAAGGGUAAGAAAUAGGUCCAAAUUAUAAUUCAGAACAUAAAUUAAUUUAAUGUAAAAUUUAAAUAAAAUUUAAAAUUCUUUCAUUAUCAAAUAAAUUUUCUUAAUAAAAUACUUUUAGUGAAUUAAUUAGAAGUCUUACUUAUUAACAAUAAAAAAAAUAUUUAUCCUUGUGCCAGAAAAAAACACCGCAUAGAUCAUAAAAAGGAAAAACUAAAACAUCCAUAAAACCACUAAACACAAAAUUCAUAGUUGUAGAGGAGGAUUAGAUACAUUGGUCCCAUAAUAUGUCACUCAAAAUCUCAAAUUCAUCCAACAAAAAGAAAUCAUCACUUUAGUUAAUUAAAUCAAGAACAAAUAAAGUCAAAAUCUCAAAUUCAUCCAACAAAAAGAAAUCAUCACUUUAGUUAAUUAAAUCAAGAACAAAUAAAGUUAUGGAUGAACAAAUAUGGGAAGCAAAGAAAUGUGAUGGAUCAAAAGGGACGGAUAAGCUAAUUUCUGCCAUAAGGUAGAUGGUGAACUUAGGAUGUGGAGUUUCAAUAAAUACCUAAAAAUACCUAAACUUUUGGCAAUUCAAAUAGAUUAUACUAAUUUUUAAUUACUUAAAAAUAUUGCAUAAAUUUAAUAACAAAAAGGAGAAUAAAAGAAACAUGAAAUUAUACCUGUCAAUUUGUUAUUGCUAAGAGAAAGGUAUUGGAGAGAAGUCAAGUUUCCAAUAACAAGAGGAAUUUUACCUGAAACAUAUAAUUAAAUCAAUAAAUAUAUAAUUAUUUUUAUUAAUUAUUUUAAGAGUUUAAUAAGGCAAAUCUAAAAGGUAGAAGAAAUAGCUAAUUAGAAGUAGUGUGUGAUUCAAAAGGGUAUAAAGUAGGUCCAAAUUAAAAAUCAAAUUUUAAAAUAAUUUAAUGUAAAAUUUAACUCUUUUCUUAUCACCAAAUAAAUUUACUUUCAGAGAAAUUACAAGUUUUAAUAAAAUAGUUGAAAUAAGUGAUUGUUUAUGACUAGGUGAAAAUUAGAUGAAAAAAAACAUAUAAUUAAUAAUUUAUAUAUCUAUUUCUCUCAUACUAUGGACUAUGGUCGAGCAAAAAUUAAUAAAAAAAUCAAACGGAUAGAAAUAGCUUAGUUACAAGAUUGAUGUUAAUCCAAUAAAUUUUUAAAAAAAAACACAUUGUUUCCAAAAGGGUAAGAAAUAGGUCCAAAUUAUAAUUCAGAACAUAAAUUAAUUUAAUGUAAAAUUUAAAUAAAAUUUAAAAUUCUUUCAUUAUCAAAUAAAUUUUCUUAAUAAAAUACUUUUAGUGAAUUAAUUAGAAGUCUUACUUAUUAACAAUAAAAAAAAUAUUUAUCCUUGUGCCAGAAAAAAACACCGCAUAGAUCAUAAAAAGGAAAAACUAAAACAUCCAUAAAACCACUAAACACAAAAUUCAUAGUUGUAGAGGAGGAUUAGAUACAUUGGUCCCAUAAUAUGUCACUCAAAAUCUCAAAUUCAUCCAACAAAAAGAAAUCAUCACUUUAGUUAAUUAAAUCAAGAACAAAUAAAGUCAAAAUCUCAAAUUCAUCCAACAAAAAGAAAUCAUCACUUUAGUUAAUUAAAUCAAGAACAAAUAAAGUUAUGGAUGAACAAAUAUGGGAAGCAAAGAAAUGUGAUGGAUCAAAAGGGACGGAUAAGCUAAUUUCUGCCAUAAGGUAGAUGGUGAACUUAGGAUGUGGAGUUUCAAUAAAUACCUAAAAAUACCUAAACUUUUGGCAAUUCAAAUAGAUUAUACUAAUUUUUAAUUACUUAAAAAUAUUGCAUAAAUUUAAUAACAAAAAGGAGAAUAAAAGAAACAUGAAAUUAUACCUGUCAAUUUGUUAUUGCUAAGAGAAAGGUAUUGGAGAGAAGUCAAGUUUCCAAUAACAAGAGGAAUUUUACCUGAAACAUAUAAUUAAAUCAAUAAAUAUAUAAUUAUUUUUAUUAAUUAUUUUAAGAGUUUAAUAAGGCAAAUCUAAAAGGUAGAAGAAAUAGCUAAUUAGAAGUAGUGUGUGAUUCAAAAGGGUAUAAAGUAGGUCCAAAUUAAAAAUCAAAUUUUAAAAUAAUUUAAUGUAAAAUUUAACUCUUUUCUUAUCACCAAAUAAAUUUACUUUCAGAGAAAUUACAAGUUUUAAUAAAAUAGUUGAAAUAAGUGAUUGUUUAUGACUAGGUGAAAAUUAGAUGAAAAAAAACAUAUAAUUAAUAAUUUAUAUAUCUAUUUCUCUCAUACUAUGGACUAUGGUCGAGAAAAAAUUAAUAAAAAAAUCAAACGGAUAGAAAUAGCUUAGUUACAAGAUUGAUGUUAAUCCAAUAAAUUUUUAAAAAAAAACACAUUGUUUCCAAAAGGGUAAGAAAUAGGUCCAAAUUAUAAUUCAGAACAUAAAUUAAUUUAAUGUAAAAUUUAAAUAAAAUUUAAAAUUCUUUCAUUAUCAAAUAAAUUUUCUUAAUAAAAUACUUUUAGUGAAUUAAUUAGAAGUCUUACUUAUUAACAAUAAAAAAAAUAUUUAUCCUUGUGCCAGAAAAAAACACCGCAUAGAUCAUAAAAAGGAAAAACUAAAACAUCCAUAAAACCACUAAACACAAAAUUCAUAGUUGUAGAGGAGGAUUAGAUACAUUGGUCCCAUAAUAUGUCACUCAAAUUCAUCCAACAAAAAGAAAUCAUCACUUUAGUUAAUUAAAUCAAGAACAAAUAAAGUUAUGGAUGAACAAAUAUGGGAAGCAAAGAAAUGUGAUGGAUCAAAAGGGACGGAUAAGCUAAUUUCUGCCAUAAGGUAGAUGGUGAACUUAGGAUGUGGAGUUUCAAUAAAUACCUAAAAAUACCUAAACUUUUGGCAAUUCAAAUAGAUUAUACUAAUUUUUAAUUACUUAAAAAUAUUGCAUAAAUUUAAUAACAAAAAGGAGAAUAAAAGAAACAUGAAAUUAUACCUGUCAAUUUGUUAUUGCUAAGAGAAAGGUAUUGGAGAGAAGUCAAGUUUCCAAUAACAAGAGGAAUUUUACCUGAAACAUAUAAUUAAAUCAAUAAAUAUAUAAUUAUUUUUAUUAAUUAUUUUAAGAGUUUAAUAAGGCAAAUCUAAAAGGUAGAAGAAAUAGCUAAUUAGAAGUAGUGUGUGAUUCAAAAGGGUAUAAAGUAGGUCCAAAUUAAAAAUCAAAUUUUAAAAUAAUUUAAUGUAAAAUUUAACUCUUUUCUUAUCACCAAAUAAAUUUACUUUCAGAGAAAUUACAAGUUUUAAUAAAAUAGUUGAAAUAAGUGAUUGUUUAUGACUAGGUGAAAAUUAGAUGAAAAAAACAUAUAAUUAAUAAUUUAUAUAUCUAUUUCUCUCAUACUAUGGACUAUGGUCGAGCAAAAAUUAAUAAAAAAAUCAAACGGAUAGAAAUAGCUUAGUUACAAGAUUGAUGUUAAUCCAAUAAAUUUUUUAAAAAAAACACAUUGUUUCCAAAAGGGUAAGAAAUAGGUCCAAAUUAUAAUUCAGAACAUAAAUUAAUUUAAUGUAAAAUUUAAAUAAAAUUUAAAAUUCUUUCAUUAUCAAAUAAAUUUUCUUAAUAAAAUACUUUUAGUGAAUUAAUUAGAAGUCUUACUUAUUAACAAUAAAAAAAAUAUUUAUCCUUGUGCCAGAAAAAAACACCGCAUAGAUCAUAAAAAGGAAAAACUAAAACAUCCAUAAAACCACUAAACACAAAAUUCAUAGUUGUAGAGGAGGAUUAGAUACAUUGGUCCCAUAAUAUGUCACUCAAAAUCUCAAAUUCAUCCAACAAAAAGAAAUCAUCACUUUAGUUAAUUAAAUCAAGAACAAAUAAAGUUAUGGAUGAACAAAUAUGGGAAGCAAAGAAAUGUGACGGAUCAAAAGGGACGAAUAAGCUAAUUUCUGCCAUAAGGUAGAUGGUGAACUUAGGAUGUGGAGUUCCAAUAAAUACCUAAACAUACCUAAACUUUUGGCCAUUCAAAUAGAUUAGAUUAAUUUUUAAUUACUUAAAAAUAUUGCAUAAAUUUAAUAACAAAAUGGAGAAUAAAAGAAACAUGAAAUUAUACCUGUCAAAUUGUUAUUUCUAAGAUAAAGAAAUUGGAGAGAAGUCAAGUUUCCAAUAACAAGAGGAAUUUCACCUGAAACGUAUAAUUAAAUCAUCACUUUAGUUAAUUAAAGCAAGAACAAAUAAAGUUUUGGAUGAACAAAUAUGAGAAGCAAAGAAAAAUGAUGGAUCAAAAGUGACGAAUAAGCUAAUUUCUGCCAUAAGGUAGAUGAUGAACUUAGGAUGUGGAAUUCCAAUAAAUUCCUAAACAUACCUAAACUUUUGGCCAUUCAAAAUCAAAUUCUAGUGGUUAAAAUUAUGAAAUGAGUAAUUAUUAUUUUUACAGCAAAAAAUGUGAGUAUAUAAAGAAAAAUAAAAAUAAAAAUGUAGAGCAAUAUAAAAAGAAGUUUUAAGGUAAGUAGGUUUGUUAUUUUUAAGAAUAAUAGUAAAGCAGGACAUUUGGUUUUGCUUAUAUAAGAAGUUGGUUCAUGCAUAGGGAUGUCAUAUUACCCAUGUUUGCAUUUAAAUAUUUGUAUUAAGAAAUAUUUUAUUUGAAAGAGUUUAAUAAUUUUAAGCUGUCUAAUAAUAAAUAAAUUAGUCUAAGAAAAAAUAAAGCAUCUCAAAAUAUAUGUCUUAUACCAAUAUUCUUAUAGUUGUCUAAUUUCAAAGUAGUUAAAGGAUUAAACGUGUAAUUAAUUGUAUUUUUAAAACGACAGUUAUUUUAUUUUCUAUAUUUGUUUAUUUUUUAUUUUUUUAAAUAUAUAUUUAAACUUUGCAAAAUGAAUGGAUAUAUUUGAACAUGAAACAUGAUACAAUAAUUUAGUGAGAAUGAAAUAAAAUAAUGGUGGAAAAAUGAUAUGAUGACAUUAAACGGAAAAUAAGCGAAUGAAUAAAUAAGUAAAUAAAGGAGAAUAAGAAGAUAAAGACCAAAAACAAUUGCUAUGCUAAUGAAUAAUAUCAAUAUUUCUAUGAUGAUAACAAAACAACGAUUAAACGAUAAUCAUGUUGUGGUUAUUAUCUUAGUAUUACAUUGAAUAAAUAAUAAUGACAAGAACAAAGAAUAAAAUAGAAUAAUAUGUGCAAAUGAAUAAUAUAGACAAAGAUAAAAUAUAUAAAUUUUAAAUACUAAAUAAAUGAUAUAGUAAAUAAAUAAGCAAAAUUAAUCGAAAUACAAAGUAAAUUGGAACUCAAGCAAAGUUUAAAACUCAUAUCGCAAAAUAAAUGAGGGAAAGGGACCACAAAUAUACAAAUAAAAUGAAAAUAAAUAUAAAUUUUAAAUAUAUAAAAAAUAAAUAAAAAAAAGAAAUAACGAAUAAAUGACUAAAUAAAUAGAUAAGACAAAUAUAAAAAAAUAUUAAAUUUAAGUGUUUAAAAAUUAAAAGAAUGAUAAACAAAUAAAUAAAUAAAUUUAAGUAUUUGCAAUUCAAAUUGAUGAUAUUUUUCUUAUUCUUAUGCUUUUCUAAUUUCAAAGUACUUAAAGGAUUAAAUGUGUAAUUAAUAGUUUUUAAGCCAAAAGUAUUAUAGUAAAAAGUUAAAAGAUUGUAAAGUUAUUUAGUAAUAUAUAGCACGAUUCUGUUAUAAGUAUUAUAACAGUACCAACAAAAAGGAAAAUAAAGAUGAUAUUAUAUCUGUUAAGUUGUUAUAAAAAAGAAUGAUGAUCACGAGAGAAAUAAGGUUUCCAAUAACAGAUGAAAUUUCACUUAAAAUCAUUAAAAUUUACUAACAGAUCUUAAAAUCGUUAAAACUCAAUGCGGGUAGGUAUAAGUCUGAAACAUAUAAUAUCAACUAUGUACUCUGUAAUCAAAGUUAAUUAAGAGAAAUCAUAUACUCUAUUUCUUUCCUAUUCAAGAAUAUCAACACAUAAAUAAUAAGGAUAGAAAAAAAUAGGUAAUUACAAGUCUUGUGUGAUUCAAAAGGGUAUAAAGUAGGUCCUAAUUACAAAUCAAACCUUAAAUUAAUUUAAUGUAAAAUUUAACUCUUUUCUUAUCACCAAAUAAAUCUACUUUUAGUAAAUUAGGAGUUUUAAUAAAAUACUUGUAAUAAAAGAUUGUUUAUGACUAAGUGUUUUGUUUUCAACAUAUUUGGAAUUAACUUGCCUUAGAAAAACAGUCUCUAUUAUUUUUAAGAAUAUAUUAUAAAAGCAAGAUAUGCCACUUAGAGAAGUUUCUUUAAGUAUUUUUUCUCGGCCAAAAUAAAAGGGUUAUUGUUUAAAGUCCCGUUUCAUUACUUAAAACAAUUGUUGAUGGAAAUUGGAUAAAAAUGAAUGAAACAAUAACCAAGAAUUGUUUACCUUUGAAAUGGUUGUUACUAAGAGCCAAAGUCUCGAGCAAAGUCAAAUUUCCAAUUUCUGUAGGUAUACUUCCAUCCAAGGAGUUGUAACCCAAUGAUAAAAACUUCAGCUCUUUGCACUUGAAUAAACUAUUUGGAAUUCUACCGGAAAUUUGAUUCCCACCCAAGCCCAACCUUUCUAGUUUUGACAAAUUGCCUAGAGUAGAUGGGAUAACACCAACGAAGUUGUUAAGGUACAAAGACAAUCUUUGAAGUUUUUUUGGUGUUUAAGGGCAGCAGCAAGCUAGUUUGCACUUGCUUGGACAACAAGUGUCGAGCCUUGCUGAAGACACUAUCGAAGAAGAAGAAAAUUUUGCAAUGGAAAAAAUAGGAAAGAAAGAGAUGAUUUGAAUGAAAAUUGAGCUGAAUUUUCAUUAAUUUUCACAAGAGGCAUAAUGCCAAUACAUAUAUGAGAUAACAACAGCAAAACAAACAAGUUACCACCUAAUAACAUACCUAACACCACUAAUUUGCCUAGUAACUUGGUAAACUUGUUUGAACACAAAACAAGCCACCUAAACUUGUCAUUCAGCACCUAAUUACAUCAAAAUGCAACUACCAACUAAGUUCAAAACAAACUAAAAUACAAAGAGUUCAUUUGAGUAACUAAAUGAAACAAAGCAGUUUCGGUUUGCUGCUUGGAGCACGUUGCUUGCAUUGCCACUUUUGCUGCUGCAUGGGGGCUGACUUCAACACUCCUCCUCAGCUUCUAUGCUGCAGACUCCUAAUUGCUUUCUUAAGCUUAGAAAUCUCGAUGUACCAAGUGAUUUUGUGAAAAUAUCGGUAAUCUGAUUUUCAGAGUUGCAGUGAAUCAGCUCGAUCUCUCGGGCUUGUUCCAUUUCUCUUAUCACAUGCAACUUAAUGUUGAAGUGUUUUGUCCUGCCAUAGAAGACAGGAUUUUUAGCAAUAGCGACUGCUGAUUUGUUGUCACAGUAAAUCUCAGUUGCUCCAUUUUGUUGUAGAUUCAAAUCAUUGAUAAUUUUUCUUAGCCACAUAGCUUGAUUAACAGCAUUAGUAGGUGCUACAUAUUCUGCUUGAGCUGUCGACUGAGCCACCAUUGUUUGUUUUCUUGAACUCCAACAAAUCAUACCUGAGCCAAGUGUAAAAGCAUAACUAGAAGUGCUCUUCAUAUCGUCUUUUGAACCAGCCCAAUCGCUGUCAGUGUAUCCAAUUAAUUUCAACUCCUCGACCCUUCUGAAAUGUAUUCCAUGGUUCAAGGUACCUUUGAUGUACCUCAGCACCCUUUUUCUGCUUUGUAAUGUUGCUGGUUACAACAAUGCAUGAAUCUUGACAGCAUGCUAACUGCAAAUAGAACAUCAGGUCUCGUUGCUGUCAAAUAUAGCAAAUAGCCAACAAGACUUCUGUAAUCUGUUUCAUAGACAGAUUCAUGAUCUUCUUUGCUCGAUAGUUUCAUGCCAACAGCCAUAGGUGUGCUAGUUGGCUUGCAGUUCUUCAUUGAAAAUUUGGCUAGGACCUUUGAAGCAAAUGAUUUCUGUCCCAAGAAGAUUCCUUCACCAGCUUGAUUAACUUCCAUUCCUAGGAAGUAUGUCAUCAACCCCACGUCUGACAUUUCAAACAUUUCCUUCAUUUUUGUUUUGAAAUCAGCUAACAUGAAUUUGUCUCCUCCAGGCACUAGAAGAUCAUCAACAUAGAGUGACACAAUGAGCUGUGUUUCAGCUCGAUUUCUUUUAACAUAGAGUGUUGGCUCGCUAGCACUCCUUUCAAAUCCAAAACCGAUCAGGUAUGAAUCAAUUUGAGCAUACCAGGCUCUAGGAGCCUGUUUUCUUAGCCUAUACACCAAAUGUUCUUUACAUGGCAUUGUGAAUCCUGGAGGUUGCUCGAUGUAUAUCUCCUCUUCCAAGGAUCCAUUGAGAAAUGCAGACUUCACAUCCAUUUGAUGGAUUGUCCACUGGUUCUGAGCAGCUUCAGCAACCAACAAUCUGAUUGUAUCGAGCCUGGCUACUGGAGCAAAUGUUUCCAUGUAGUCCAGACCAUAUCUCUGACUAAAACCCUUCAGAACCAAUCUGGCUUUCAGUUUGUUUAAGCUUCUAUAUGCAUUGUGCUUUACUCGAUAGACCCAUUUUACACCAAUGGUCUUUCUGUUAGCUAGCUUCUCAACCAACUCUCAUGUCUGGUUCUUCUCAAUCAUGUUGAUUUCAUCAACCAUAGCCUAUUUCCAGCCUUCAUCUGCCUCAGCCUCUUCAAAAUUGCUAGGUUCUGCUAUAGCAACCUGUGCCCUUUCAUAGAUUUCAUCCAAGGACCUUGUGCCUCUCACAGGCACAUCAUCAACAUCCAUUUCAGGACCAAGCUCCUCUUGAUUAGGCACCAGGUCUUCUGAAACUGCUUCUGGCUCAUUCUUCUCCCAAUUCCAGCAAGCCUUUUCAUCAAAGAUAACAUCUCUGCUUACCUGAACUUUGCUUGUCAAGGGAUCUAGAAUCUUACAGCCCUUUUUGACUGAGCUAUAACCUACUAGUACACCUGGUUGAGCCCUUUUUGAGAGCUUGUCCCUCCUUGCUGCUGGUAUUUGUGCAUAGCACAGGCAACCAAACACCUUCAGAUGUGCCAAGGAAGGCUUGAAUCCAAACCAAGCCUCGAAAGGUGUCUUGGAAGCAAGAGCUUUGGUGGGAAGCCUAUUCUGAAGGUAGAUAGCAUUGUUUACUACUUUAGCCCACAUGUUCUUGGACAUUUUCUUCUCAAACAGUAGGCAUCUGGCCAUAUCCAUCAGACUUCCGUUCUUUCUUUCAGAUACCCCAUUCUGCUGAGGUGUGUACACAUUUGUAAGCUGGUGUUUGAUGCCAGCAUCAUUGUAGAUGGGUUGGAACUGAGCUGAAGUGUAUUCAGUGCCAUUGUCUGAUCUUAUCAAUUUCAGCUUGCAACCUAUUUCUAUUUCUACAGCAGUUUUGAACUUCACAAACACUCGAGCUACCUCAGACUUGUGUUUCAAGAAGAAAAUCCAACAAAACCUUGUAAAAUCAUCAAUGAAGAGGAUGAAAUACCUAUUUUUGCUAAGUGAUUCAGUCCUCAUCAAGCCACAUACAUCAGAGUGCACCAGCUGCAGUCUUUCAGUAGCUCUCCAUGCUGCAUUUGUAGGAAAUGGCAAUCUUGCCUGUUUCCCCAUCUGGCAAACUUCACACACAUCAUCAUGCUCCACUGAGUUGGUGAAGUUCUCAGCCAAGCCCUCACUGGCCAUUCGAGCCAUUGACCUGAAGUUGGCAUGUCCAAGCCUUUGAUGCCAGAGCUUGGAAUCAUCUGUAGAGGCUGUGUAUGCUGACUUUGAGUCAUUUGGCCAAUGAACCUCAAAGCAUUUGUCAGUCAUUGUGAUUGUCAUAAGGCUUGAUCCACUUGGAUCAGCAAUGAGGCACUGUUUAUCCUUGAACACAACUGAAUAACCUUUCUCAAGCAGUUGAGCUAUGCUGAGAAGGUUUCUGUCAAUCUCAGGCACCAAUAGCACAUUUGGAAUGACUUUGUUGCCUGUAGGAGUACAUAUCAGCACCUCUCAUCUUCCUUUAGCCCUUAUGAACUGACAAUUUCCAACCUUGACCUUAGUUUUACAACUUCUAUCCAAGGUUUUAAACAAGGAGGCAUCUGGUGACAAGUGGUUAGUGCAACCACUGUCCAGUAACCAGUCGUUUGAACAUUUCUUCUCAGCAGCUAAGCAAGAAACAGCAAAGACUUGCUCUUCUUGGUCACUACUAUCUUCAGCCACUCGAGCUUCAACCUUUAGUUGUUGAAAUUGGCUCUGCCUUGGCUUGGUUCUAUUUUUGCAAACCUUUUCAACAUGGCAUUUCUUCUUGCAGUGUUGGCAUACUACAUCUAGUCUGAACCAGCAUCUAUCUUCUGGAUGUCCUGGCCUCUUGCAAUAUCUGCAGGGUUGGUCACUGCUCCUUGCAGCAUCAGGCUUAGGCCUGUUUUUCCAAGGCUUUUUGCCUCUAUGAGUAUUGAUGCUCGAGGCUUCUCUGGCCUUGGCUUGAAAUGCACCUUCCUGGUGAUCUUCAGCUCUGCUAGCUCUCCUUUGUUCCUGAGCAUAGAAAGUGUUAAUUAGCUUAGUCAAAGAGAUGCUAGCAAGGUCUCUUGAGUCCUCUAAGGAGGAUAUCUUUGCCUCAUAUAUUUCAGGCAAAGUGGAGAGAACUUUCUCCACGAUUCUUGCCUCAUCAAAGUACUCACCAAGGAGCCUUAUGCUGUUGACCACUGCCAUGAUUUUAUCUGCAUACUGCUUCACUAUUUCUUCUUCCCUCAUCUUCAGAUUCUCAAAGUCUCUUCUUAAACUCAACAGCUGUUGUUGCCUUGUUCUUUCUGUGCCUUGAAACUCCUCCUUAAGCUUGUCCCAGGCCUAUUUUGGAGUCUCACAGGCCAUAAUUCUGGUGAAGAUGACAUCUGACACACAGUUCUGAAUGCAGGACAUGGAUUUGUGCCUUUUGGUCCUCUCAUCAGCAUGUUGUCAGAUCUGAGCUACUGUGGGAUUGGCCCUCAGUGGUGCUGGCUUAACAUCUGUGUUGACAACUUCCCACAGAUCAAAGGCCUGCAGGUAAGUCUUCAUCUUUACUAGCCAUAUAUGGAAGCCUUCUCCAUUGAAGACUGGUGGGGCUGCUGGUGAAAAACUUGAGGAAGCCAUUCAGUUUUCUUGGUUUGAUACAACAGGUCCACUAAGAAUGCAACUUUGAUACCAAUUGUUGGUGUUUAAGGGUAGCAGCAAGCUAGUUUGCACUUGCUUGGACAGCAAGUGUCAAGCCUUGCUGAAGAAACUAUCGACGAAGAAGAAAUUUUUGUAAUGGAAAAAAGGAAAGAAAGAGAUGAUUUGAAUGAAAAUUGAGCUGAAUUUUUAUUAAUUUUCACAAGAGGCAUAAUGCCAAUACAUAUAUGAGAUAACAACAGCAAAACAAACAAGUUACCACCUAAUAACAUACCUAACACCACUAAUUUGCCUAGUAACUUGGUAAACUUGUUUGAACACAAAACAAGCCACCUAAACUUGUCAUUCAGCACCUAAUUACAUCAACAUGUAGCUACCAACUAAGUUCAAAACAAACUAAAAUACAAAGAGUUCAUUUGAGUAACUAAAUGAAACAAAGCAGUUUCGGUUUGCUGCUUGGAGCACGUUGCCUGCAUGGCCACCUUUGCUGUUGCAUGGGGGCUAACUUCAACAAGUUUACUGAAGCAACCAAACCAUGAUGGGAUUUCUCCAUUGAAGCUAUUAUUACCAAAGUCUAAAUAUUUCAUCCGACGCAAAUUAGUUAACUCAAUGGGUAAAGAGCCUUGGAAACUAUUUUGAUGAAUGUCGAGCCAAGCAAGGAAAGAUAGAUUUCCCAAUUGAGAAGAAAUGGUGCCCGUGAGAUCCAUGCUUGACAAAUUCAGAGCAGUGACUCUAUGGUGUCUAGAUCCACACGUGACACCAAUCCAGCUACAAACGGAGGUAGAAGUAGACCAAUUUGUUGCCAAGAAAUUGUGAGGAUCAUGAGUUAUAUGAGAUUUGAGUGCUAGAAGAGCAGAUUGAUCAAUGGUGAUGCUAGAAUAUUUUGCAAGCAAAAUAACCCCAACGGUUGCGAAUAGCAGUCCAAACAUAAACGGAGGGAGGAAGCUUGGUUUUGC